GGGACUUGUACUUGUAAGGGUGCUUGGGUGGUGAUGGUGGUGGAGGUGGUGGGGACUUGUACUUGUAAGGGUGCUUGGGUGGUGAUGGCGGUGGAGGUGGUGGAGACUUAUACUUGUAAACUGGAGAUGGUGGGGGUGGAGACUUGUACUUGUAAGGGUGCUUGGGUGGUGAUGGUGGGGGUGGGGGUGGGGGUGGGGACUUGUACUUGUAGGGGUGUUUGGGUGGUGAUGGUGGUGGUGGUGGUGGGGACUUGUACUUGUAAGGAUGCUUGGGUGGUGAUGGUGUUGGAGGUGGAGGAGACUUGUACUUGUAAGGAUGCUUGGGUGGUGAUGGAGGAGGUGGUGGGGACUUAUACUUGUAAACAGGAGUUGGUGGGGGAGGAGAUUUGUACUUGUAAGGCUUCUUGUGUGGUGGUGGUGGUGGUGGAGAGUAGACCGGAGGAGGCGGUGGUGGAGACUUGUAAUGGUAAGGUGGUGGUGGGUACUUCUUAGGAGGUGGUGGAGGAGAAGAAUAAGUGUAAUCUGCUGAGGUUUCAAAAGGCAAAUUGAGAGACACUGCUAAAACUAAAAGAGUGAGAAAGAGAGAGGUCAUUGAUGACCCCAUUUUCCCCAUACUUCUAAAAAUGGGUUUAAUUUGGUUAUGCUCUUAGCAACCCUCUUCACUCCCUUUAUAUAGACUUUUUUUUUAACCUUAUAAUCAUGAUAAAAGUUUGAAGAUGGACCGAACCUUCAGCAGCAUGUAAAAAAGACAUUACGUUUAGGUUAUUAGCAUGGUAUGAUAUAAUAAUUCUCUAUUCUCUUCCUUGUCGUUUCCCAUAAAUUCAAUUUUCUCUAUUAAAUAUUUAUCAAAUUCAUUUCUCACUCCCUAUUAAUUCUUUAAUAAGUUUAUAGAAUAUGAAUAAUUAAUCAUUAAACUCGAUUUAAUAAAUACUUUAAACAAUUAAUAAUUUAUCUUAUUUUAUGCUUUAAUUAAGGCAUCAAAUCAUAAUCCUAUUUUAUAUUUUGAAAAUUUAUCAUUUUUUAAAGAACUUAAUUGAUUAAAAUGUGAUUCUAAUAUUUGGCAGGAAAAAUUAGUUUACUUUCCUUAGAAUGUAAUAUUCUUUUGAGAGUUAUUUUCUUACUAAUAAUAGAAAGUGAUAAUUCGUGAGAAAAUUACUUUCACAUGUAAAUAAAAAUUAUUAGAACAAAAAAUUAACUUUCUUUUAUUUAUGUUUAGGUACUAAUUAACUUAUUGAGAUAAAGAUAGUUGUAGCUUGCUUUUUCAUGUCAUUUUCUUAUCUUUACAACUUCAAACCAUUAUUCUAGAGUAAGUUUUUUUUUUUUUUUCUAAAUAGUAGAUAAAUAUCUAUAUUUUAUUUUGCUAUAAGAAAAUUAUAUUUUUUAGCAUACAAAACUUAAAGACAACUUGUAGAAUCAAGUAAUUCUAUGAAAAGCAAGCCUAUUCACAUAUAAUACCUAUUACUCUAGCAAUAAUAAUAUUGACAUUGUCUAAAUUUUCUAAUAAAAAAAUUAUAUAAUUUGUAUGUGUUAAAAAUGAAAAAUAUGGCGGUUAUUAAAAAAGAUUUCAUACAUCUAAAUGAAACUACUAAUUUAAAAAUUAGUAUUGAGAUAAUUUCAAGUUAAUAUUGAAUAUACUUGAAUUUGUACAUACAAAGUAAUGAGGGUAAAAAUUUUGUAAAUUGUACAUCUUCACAAUCUUGAGUUAAUAUACAAUUUUUUAAUGUAUUAAUAUAAUGUUUUAGAUCAAGAUGUGAAAAAACAUAACUCAAAUAUUUGUUAAUAAUAAAAAAUUAUUAAUAAAUAUUUAAUUCAAAAUUUAUUAAUAAUAAAAAUUAUUGAAAAAUAUUAAAUACGUUAAUAUUAUUUUUAUAUAAUAAUGAUAAUUUUGUACAGUAAUCUUAUAUUCUCAAUAAGUGUUAAAUGUCUCAAGAUUUUAAUUAAUACUUUUCAGUGGUUACCAAACAUUGUGAAAUAACUUCUUGAACAAUGAUAUUCUUAUCAAUCACAUUCCAUUAGAAAUUUAACAUAGGAAAGCACCAAAACAACCGCUUAAAAAUGAAUGUGCAUGAUUAAAAUCGCGAUAAGUCUUGUUUAUCUAAAAUUUAAAUAUUCAUUUUAUUAUUUAAAAUAUAUUAAUUUUCCAAAAACAAUCAUUAAUAUUUAUAUUUCUAAUUUUAAACAUUCUUUUGUUAAUUAAAUGAUAGUGUAAACGGUUAAACUCAAAUCGAAAGCAUUUUAUCUUAUAGUAGAUUAUAUGACUCAUAUUAUGGUUGAAAGUAAAAUGUAUAAAAUCAAUACAAACAUCAAAUAUUAAACUUGCACUCAAUAGAUUUUAAAAUUUCUAAUUUUACCACUAAUCUAUUUUAAGAUUUUUAAAAAAUCGUACUUUAGAUUAUCUAAUUUAAAUUUUAAAAUUAUUAAAAAUAAAAAAAUUCUUAAUAAAAAAAUUUGUUUCAAAUUUUUAACCUUUUAAUAUAAUUGUUUUAACUGGUUAUCUAAACUAAAUAAAAACUUAUUUAGUAUAAAAAAAAGUGGUAAAUGUGAAAGGAGCACAAAUCACAACUACAAUAUGCUACAUUAGUUUUAUAAUUGGAUUAAUUUAAUCACCGGCAGAGGAAAUGUGUUAGUUCUAGCUACCACCAAUUUAUUUUAAUUCCUUUAAAAAUAUUAGAAAAAAUCAAUUUGAUUUUUAAUAAUAGAUCUAAUUACUUAAAGGAACAUCGGUGAUGUCCACAUGGCAUACAAGGUUAAGCAUAUAAAAAAAGAACAAAAAGAUUAAGUAUCUUUGCAAGAUAGCUUUCUGAAAUAAAUAAAACUUAAAUAAAAACAAUUUUAUUAUCAAAAUAAAAAGAAAAAAGAAAAGAAAUACUAGUGUUUUUAAUUAAAAUAGAGUGAUCUGGGUAGAAUCUUUUACUUAAAUACUGACAUUGACUUUAUAAGCUAUUUUUUAUCAAAAGAAGAAAGAGAAAAGCAUCCGAUUGAAGAUGUGAAUUAUUAAAUUAAAAUUAAUCAUACAUGUAAAAUUUUAUUGUGCUUUUUUCUAGCCCUCCGAAUGACAUUAUGCUUUGAUUACAACAUUCUUGCUCAGAGAUCGGGUUUGAAGAUGAACUCGGAUGCAUUUAGAUUUUUACAAGUAAAUUAAAGGAUGUUAGAACUUGUAUUCCGAUAAACUUAUAAUACAGAAAGCAAGUAAUAUGUGACUGUACAUAAUGGCUAUGAGGCGAGGAUAUGAUAUGAGAAGAUAGAGAUGAGAGAUUGCACUUAAGGGGUUAACACCACUUUCCUUUUUGUGUUUGGUCCCCAAAGCAUCUCUUAUUGGCUGAUGUUGCAAGGCCGUCCCAUAAGUUGGUCUAAAAGUGCUUGAUAGCUAGAAUUAAUAUUGUGGUAUAACAUAUGUCACCACUAGGUUUGAAUAAGGUUACACAGUGAUUUGAUGAAGAUUUAAAAAAGCAUAGAGAUAAUUAUGUUGCAAAUAUUGUAAAAGUAAGAGCUAAAUUGUUUGGCUUUAUUAGAGUUUAGACUCUGUUAGUCUAUUACCAUUCUCUAUUAGUCUGUUACCAUUUUGUUAUAUAGGCUGUAAUAUUGUUAGAAAGCAGUUAGCAGCUGUUAGUCAUAGUAGUUAGUCAUACAAAUAUAAAUUCUAUUCAUGUAUUGUUCAAAGGUAAGCUAAUAAUAUCAGAAGCGAUUUAAUGUAUUCAUUCUACUUUUUUUUUAUUCUUCAUAAUACAGUUGUUAACAUGGUAUCAGUACCCUAAUUUCUUAGAGGUCGCUUCUAUUGUAGAUCCAUGGCCAAUUCCACUGAUUCUACCUCCACUGGUCGUAGCAGUCCCUCGUUCUCGAUUCAUGUUUGGUUCAAUCGUUUCCUCGUCGUCACACUGAGAAGUUAGAUGAAAGAAAUGUUAUGCAAUGCCAACAGCAUAUCCUAUUGAUAAUUGAAGGGUAUGAACUCAUAAGAUUUUUAGAAGGGACGUUACCUACUCCGCCUCGCUUUGUGUCAUCUCCCGAUGGAACCUUGGCUUCGGCUCCCGAUGCAUUCCUGUUUGUUCAGCAAGAUAAGUUACUCGCUCUUUGGUUGCUUUCUACGAUUAGUGCUCCUUUGUUGUCCUCUUUUAUAGCUGCUAAGACACCGUGUGAGGUUUGGAGCACUGUGAAUCACCUCUUUACUGUUUCCACCAGAGCGAAGUUAUCGCGUAUUAAGCAUGAACUCCACUCCAUCAAGAAAGGCAUGAUGACUGUCAAAGAGUAUAUUAUUAAGAUUCAAAAUACCUGCACCUUACUCGAGGCAUCUGGAUUGGUGGUUUCGAAGGCCGAGAAGGUAGAGAUCAUUCUUGCUGGCCUAUCGUCAGAUUAUGAUGUCGUUUUAACACUACCAUAGUUCUCUUCUGAAACUCUUCCGUUACAGAAGAUAGUUGUUGUGCUACUGAAGUUCGAAAGCCGUCAGACUCAUGUCGUGAAUGACAUACCUUUUCAUGCUCAUCUGGUAGAGGCCACUUCGGCGACAUCGGUGGAGGACUCCGUACAUGGUAGCCAUCCUCCUCCUGGUGCUCGUGGGCAUGACUUUCGACUCGGCUUCAGUUCCAGAUCUAUGGUUGCUAUGGACAUCUGGCACAACGCUGUUAUUAUCAUUUCAACCGCGAAUACAGUGGUCUAUCUGCUCUGACCAUGGCGCAGGCUUCGCUUUUGUGCUGGGCACUAUUCGUGUGACAAUGUUUUUGGUGCAACUGGUCUCUUGACCGGCUGGUUUCCAUCAGCUCAUCCUAGUUCAAACCCCUUCGAUGUGCCUGGACAGUGUGCCGAUUCUUCGGUGACGGUACCGGCGCAUUUCCCUUAUGGCUCCUCUUGGGGAGGAUGGCCACAUUUGUAAAACAAUGCCUCCCUUGUGCCAAGUCUACCGAAUGUUAGGGUUUCUAACCUUUUUGCUCCUAAUUUUAACAAUGAGGCAAGCUAAGUGUUUGGGCCCGCUGUUGAACCAGGCUCAAAUAGUGACCAAUCUGGUGGUCCUCACUUGCCGCUGAAGAUGGGCUAACGCAUUGGGCCAUUCGCUGGUGUUCCUAGGCCAACUGCUUCAGGCCAAGAUUUUGGCCUAAAUGGAAUUGGUAGGCCAGCCAGUGCUCGUCCUAGCAUUGGAUAGGGUUCACUUGGGUCAAAUGUCAAUUUUAUUGGACUUGAGGGUUCUUUUGGGUAUAGACAAGAGUUUGGGCCCACCACUGGCAAUGUUUCAGUGCCAAUUAAUAGAUCAUGUGUUCCAUGGCACACAAAAUCGAGGGCACGCGUUAUUGAUUUUGAUUCUUCGCUGUGCGUUGGGUUGCAUCGCUUUACUAAUUUUCACGCAUCCGAUUUUUUUACUACCACUGGGUCUAAUGCCAAUACAACUCCAUAUAGGUCUAAUUUUGAUAAUGGUAAUUCUUACAUUCCUAUGCCUAUAGGGACCUCAUCAUGGUGUCUUGAUUUAGGGGCUACGCAUCAUGUCUGUUGAGAAGUCUCUGCCUUGAAUAAGUCUACGCCAUACUCAAGUACAUCUCCUUUCUUCACGGAUGAUGGUAUUCCUACAAAAAUAUCGUAUGUUCGGAAUCUUAUCUUGUCUAUGAAAACCAAAUUGCUUCAUUUGUCUAAUGUUUUGUGUGUGCCAAAUAUACGGAAGAAUUUGCUAUUUGUUUCUCAGUUUGCUAAUGACAAUAACGUGUUCUUUAAAUAUCACCUGUCUUAUUGUGUUAUUAAAGACAUCCAGACUCAUGAAAUUUUACUACGGGGCUACACUCGUGAUGGGCUCUAUUAUUUUUCGUCGGUUACUCUUGCUCUGUUUGUCGUUGUUCCUUUUUUCAUAGCACUGGGAUCUAGAGUCGCAAUGCAUAUGAUGAUUGUUUUGCAUUAUGGCAUCACAGGCAUAGUCAUUUGUCUGCCUCGAUUGUUAAACUUGUUCUCGAUAAGUGUCAAGUUGUUUCAAAAUAAAAUGUGCCUUGAAAAUAUUUGUAUUGCAUGUCAAAACGGGAAGUCUCACAAACUGCCUUUUUCAAGUUCUACUACUGAAUAUACAAAUUUGUUUGAUUUGGUUGUCUCUAACUUAUGGGGACCAACGUCUGUUGUCUGUAGAAAUAAUUUAUAUUAUGUUUUGUUUAUCGAGAUGUGUAGUUGAUAAACCGUAAUUUAUACAUAUUUUUAUCCUAUGUUUGGCACAUUUAUAGAUGAUUUAUCCUUAGAUUUGGUGAAUUCGAUGCUCCUAAUCCUUUAAUUUCAUAUUUUAUACUUAGGAGAGCAUAGGAGGGCAAAAAGAGCGAGAAACGGGCCGAAAACGGAAAAAAUAGACCCACAUGGGAAAUCAACAUGGCCUGGACUUCCUCACACUGGUAAGCCACACGGCCGUGUCCAUUUGGCAGGAUCGAAGCAAGACUUACACGAGUAGACUACACGCCCGUGCCUUUUUAAUAGCCUUGACCACUGUCUGGAGCAAUCGCGCACGGGCAUGUCCCUGUCGAGCCCAAGUAUAGUCUUAUUCGGAAAAGGUCUAUUUUAAGGGCUCUUAGGCAUUCUAAAGCUUAUUUAAUCACCUGAGAAGGCACUUAAAAGGGGGGACACGGAGUAGGAAGCAAGGAAUUACUCGAAGAAAGCCGAUUGAUCCAUCUCAGAAGCCUGAUUAUUCAUCAAGACUGAAAAUCUCCCUUCAAUUACCAUUCAGGAGUUUUGGGUUUUCUUUAUGUUUUGUAUUCAUUAUUCUUCUGAGAUGUUUUCUUUUAUAAUUAUGAUUUAAACCCUCUAAAUACCUAAGGGGAAUGAAACCUAAACGGAUCUUGUUAUUAUUAUCUGAAUUAUAUGAUAAAUAUUUGACUUGUUUUUAAUUAUAUGUUCUUAAUUCUUGUCUUAAUAUUCCAGGAUAUUGAUUCAAGUUAAUGCGCUUAUUCAGAGGAGCAAAAGUCCCUGUCUAAGAGUAAAUUUGUCAUAAUUAAACAGAGUUGAUUGCACACCUAAAGAUAGGGUAACAAGAUUUUGCCGAAUUAGGGUGAAACCUAAUAAGGAGAUCCAUAGAUCGAGUUAAUGCAACACUAGGGCGUUAAAUAGAAAGAGAUUUCAAUUAAUCAACCUAGGGUUAGAUGUUAUUAGUCUUGAGAGAGAUAAUAAUAUAACUUAGGGAUUUGUACGGAUCAUGUCAAAUGGAUAAAUCGACUGAUUCAGAGUCAAAUAACAAGUGAAGUCUAGGUGGAUUUUUCCUUGGGUAUUGUCCUAAUCAAGCGAAUUUUCUAAAAGUAUUUUCCCCAAUUUUUCAAGCGAAUUUUCUAAAAGUAUUUUCCCCAAUUUUCUUUCUCUGCACCCUUAGUUUAGUUAAUUAGUUUUAAUAAACAAAUCCUUUAAUUUUUAGGUUAGAUAAUAAAAAGAAAGUGAUUACUAGUACUCUUGGUUCCUUUGGGUUCGACAAUUCGGUCUUGCUAAAGCUAUAUUACUGUUCGAUAGGUACACUUGUCUUUAUCGUGAUAAUAGUUGGUUUCAAUAACGAUCAUUUCUAAAUUAUUUAAAACUUAUCGCAAGUAUCAUGAAUCAAGUUUUUGGCGCCGUUUCCGGGGAACUAAGAUAUUAGGAACACUUGAUUUUUAUUACUUUAGCCAUUUUUCUUUAUUUUUACUUUAAAUUUUUAUUUUCUUUUCUAAUUUUUCUUUUAUUUGUUCCUGACAGGUUUUUAUAGUUUAUGAUUAGAAGAAACCCGUCGGGACCAUUACUGUUUGAUAGUGAGAUCGAUCGCACAGUUCACAGAAACCAAAGAAAAAUAAGACGAAGCUUAAGAUACAAAAAGGAAGAGUAAGACGACGAUACUUCAACCACAAUCGAGAAGAUGGCUGAAAACCAGGAAAAUUUGCUACCUCCUGUGAUUUCUGCUGAUCCAGUAAAUCAGAAUCCUACUCCACGCACUAAGUAUGAUUAUGCUAAACCUACUUUAACAGGAACUGAGUCAAGUAUAGUUAGGCCUGCUAUUGCUGCGAAUAAUUUUGAACUGAAACCUAACACAAUUGAAAUGAUACAGCAAUUUGUUCAGUUUGAUGGUUUGCAGGAUGAGGAUCCAAACAACCACUUGGAAAAUUUUCUAGAGUUUUGCGAUACAUUUAAAAUCAAUGGCGUUUCUACUGAUGCCAUUCGCCUUCAGUUAUUCCCUUUUUCAUUGAGGAACAAAGCUAAACAGUGGUUGAACUCGUUACCACAAGGGUCAAUCACUGCUUGGGAACAAAUGACCGAAAAAUUUUUAUUAAAAUAUUUUUCGUCGACUAAAACAGCCAAAUUACGUAAUGAUAUCUCUUCAUUUAUGCAAAUGAAUAUAGAAACACUCUAUGAUGCAUGGGAGAGAUACAAGGACCUUUUAAGAAGAUGUCCUCACCAUGGGUUACCACUCUGGCUACAGGUUCAAACGUUUCACAAUGGCCUGAAUCCUUCGACUAGACAGAUGAUUGACGCAGCUGUUGGAGGAACUAUCAAUAAUAAGACACCUGAGGAUGCUUAUGAAUUUAUAGAAGAGAUGUCACUAAAUAAUUAUCAAUAGCAAGUCAUGAGGACAAAACCGAUGAAAGCAACCGGGGUUUUUAAUGUUGAUUCGGUCACCAUACUUUCUAAUCAGGUAGAACUUUUGAAUAGAAAAAUUAACAGUUUUUUUGGUUCUUCACAGGUUCACCCAGUAAUGCAAUGCAAUGCAAGUGGGGGAGAAUUGAGCAAUUCAGAAUGCCCACCCUAUGGCCACAACAUGAAAAACAAGCAAUUAAAUUAUAUGGAUAAUAAUCCUCGACCUCAAAAUAAUCCUUAUAGUAACACUUACAAUACAGGAUGGAGGAACCACCCAAAUUUCUCAUGGGGAGGCCAAGGGAAUCAGAGACCACCACCAUUUCCAGGUUUCUAACAGCAACCUUACCAGCAAAAUAAAAAUUUGAACCUUGAGGAAAUGCUAACAAAAUUCAUCUUGGUGUCAGAAACUCGUUUCCAGAAUACCGAGACAGCACUUAAAAAUCAACAAGCGUCGAUCCAAGGGCUCGAAACUCAGAUAGGCCAGCUCGCUAAAUUGAUAUCUGAAUGAACACAAGGUAGCCUACUGAGUAACACUGAAUCUAACCCAAGGGAGCAACUCAAUGCGAUUGCCAUUCAAGAUGAGGAAGGGUUAGUUACAUCUAAACCAGAACCGAGGCAAGAAACUGUGGUAAGUAAAGGUAAAGGUAAGGUAAACCACAUCGAGCAGAAACCGGUAAGUAAAGAGUACAAACCACGAGUGUCAUACCCAAAUGCGACAAAGAAAGACCAUACAGAUGAACAAUUUUGUAAACUCCUUAAACUAUUAAAGAAAUUACACAUUAACUUACCGUUUAUUGAAGCCCUUUCGUAGAUGCCGAACGCAGUCAAGUUUUUAAAGGAGCUUUUAGGAAACAAGUGAAAGUUGGAUGAAGCGUCGCAUGUGGAGUUGAACGUAGCUUGCUCAGCUAUUCUACAAAAUAAGCUACCCAACAAAUUAAAAGAUCCAGAGAGUUUUACAAUUCCUUGCUUAAUUGGUAGCUUAGAUGUUAAUAAUACUUUGGCUGAUUUAGGGGCUAGCAUCAAUGUCAUGCCUUACAAAAUGUUUAAGUAACUAGGUCUUGAGAAACCCAAACAAACUAAGAUGAGUAUUCAAUUAACCGAUGAAACAAUUAGAUUUCCUAGGGUUAUUAUUGAAGAUGUACUCAUUAAAAUUGACAAAUUUAUAUUCCCAGUUGAUUUCGUUGUUCUAGACAUAGAGGAGGAUAGUAACGUUCCUUUAAUUUUAGGGAGCCCUUUUUAGCAACUGUUAGAACAAUAAUUGAUGUUGGCACAGGUGAACUCACACUUCGUGUGGGAGACGAAACAAUCACCCUUUAAGCUCGUAAUUCAAGUAACACAUCAAAAAUUGAAGGUGGUUGUAUAAAUCAUACUAUUAAAACUGAUCAUUUGGUGAAACCUUCCUGGCAGGAAACACGUUCAAAGAACACACCUGAGCCAUGUUCGAGUAACGACAAAAGACCUAUCUAUGAAGAAUGAAGGCUACAACUUGAGGAACUAGAUGAAUAGCUGACACAUAAACCGAGGACACACGAUAAACCAAAACCAUGCCAUGACGAGCUCAAUAUUUCACCAAAUCAACUUAAGGUUGGAGACAAAGUACUACUAGAUGCGGUAGACCCUCGUAUUGCUACGUCUGAACCUAACGGAGCAAUCCCUCUUACAGUACUCAACAUUUUCCCAUAUGGUACAGUCGAGGUUAUUCAUCCCAAACUCGGCACUUUUAAGGUAAACAGUACUCGUCUUAAACCUUAUUUUGAUAAAAUUGAUAGCAGGGAUGAGGAGUGUGAACUCCUCACAUCACAAUGACCAUGCAACAGAAAGGUAAGUCGAGCUUAGACUAUAAAUAAGCGUUUUUCGGGAGGCAACCCGAGCAUUAAUGAUGUUAACUUUUUUAAAAUUUUAGUUUUUUACAUCUAAUCACUAACUGAGUCAGUGAAACACAGGUUUUCUAAUCUACACGGCCAAGCACACGGACAUGCCUUAGGCCGUGCUCACACCAUGGGAGGAGACACAGCCGUGCGAUACUGCCGUGUGAAAACAGGGUAAAAUUUUUCCUUAACACGGGAUGUGAUAAGUUGCCACGGCCGUGCGAUGUAGCCGUGGGCGAGUCUUUCAAACCAACACAGGCGUGUGACACACCCGUGUCUAUAAACCAUGGUUGAAACUGAGAAUUUAGCACGAGCAUGUCCUAUCAACCGUGCUCAAGACUGAAAAAAGAACACGGGCGUGGACAUCUAUACACGGGCAUUGGAGAAGAGAAUGAAACAGAACAUGGUCGUGUGACACAGACGUGUGCACCAACACGCCCAAAGAGCACGGGCGUGUGAAGAAUUUCAGACACGCCCAAAUUUGAAAAUUACGAUAAACACGAGCUGAAAUAAGGGCACAUGGGGGUGCCCCACGACCGUGUGCCCCAAAAUCUAUAUAAACCCCUUACUAUUCAUCACCCCCUUCCCCAAAAUCUCUAACCCUAGCCGCUGCAACUUCACAUGCCCUACCUGCCACGCCCGUGCACCGUCCACAGCACCACCUUUGACAACCCAAAGCUCCUCCCUCUUACGUUUGUACAUUUUUUUCCUUCUAUUCUCUUCAUUCUUUUACUUAUUUGAUGAUAUUUUAUUUUAUUUUGAGUAAAUAAUCAUAGUUAUAAUGAUAGAAUACUUAUGCUCUUUGUUAAGAAAUUUACCAUUUUAAUUGAUAUAUUUUGCUGCAUUUAUCCACUUUUCUUGUUUCCAUAGAUUUCAUGCUUACCCACACCAUAUUUCAUACUUAUUAAACCCACAUGCAUUCAUUCAAUAGAUAUUUCCAUUAGCAUUACUCUCGUAGUCCUAUUCAUAGUAAUGACUUAAUAUAUCUGAUUGGGUUAUUUUUAGUAUAGUUGUUCUUUAGUACAUGACUUCUAUGAAGUAUCUCUAUUAGUUUUACCAUGCAUAUUUUCUAUGCUAUUGCUGGGGAGUAAUUUUAUUUUUUAUUUUUUCUUGCCAUUGUAGGUAUACUAUCUCAACCUUACGUGGUAAGGAGACCGCCAUCCCCUCUUCGAAGAAAAGGAAAGGAGCAACGUCAUCCUCAGGUCCUACCGCUGAGAUCCGUUACCCUUUCCUCCAGUUUCCCUUUGGACCCCAGGAGGAACUAUUUCAGAUAUUACGGGUCCGACCCUUAGGUGUAGGCCACUGCAUUGACUGGGCUGCACUUAAAAAAAUUCAAAUGGCUGACGUGGUCCAAGCCCUCCUGACGACUACCCGUGGAGGCUUUUCUUUGAGAUCAUCGAGCCGAUGUACCACGAGCUCACAAUGGAACUCUACUCGACCUUCCAUCUUCAAGUCGCCAUGAUAAACUGCGACGAUCCUAGAACGGUCCAAUUCCACCUCAGUGGUCUAGUGCGCCAGUUGAGCGUACCGAAGUUCAGAAUUGCACUAGGGCUGUAUAUGGAAGAGUUCAUGGAUGACAACGAACUUGACACCCUCUAUUGCCACAUCCACUACUCUCUCUCCAAAUGCUGGAAGGACUUUGUCCCUGCCUCGGCCACCUAUGAUCCUAACUACUCUAAGGCAUCAGCCCUCACCCCAUCCCUGUGAUACCUACACGCCAUCUUAGCCCACACUCUGACAGGGCGGCGAGAGAGCACCGGCAUCAUCAACACUCACGACGCCUACUUUUUAUAGAGCAUGGCAAACGGGCACGUCUUCGACCUUGCCUAUUUCAUUGCUCUCGCCAUCCGCCAUCAGACGGAGCGGCAUAGGAGAGGAGUUAUCACCAUUAGCCACUAUGUGACUCGACUGGCACGGCACUUCGGGCUCCUCAACACAGCAGCAUAAUCAUCCUCACUCACUCUCAUUGGUCAUAUGUCCCCUCAAGGCAUCUCGAGUAUGCUACAUAUGAGGAUGCUCGAGAAACGACGUGGAACUUACCCUCCUCAGUACCGCCUCGUCCAGUCCACUAAAGAGGAGAACCCAUAAGACAUUACUGAUGAUGUCCCUCCACGUCAUGAGGACCCACCGUCUCAACCAUCACCCAUCCAUCGUCCAGUUCAUGCGGUGGCUUCAUACUCUGAUAUCUCUAAGCACCUUACUCGAUUUAAGCAGCAGUGUUUUCAGUGCUUUGAUCACAUUGAUGCUACUCUUCAUCAGAUUUGUCAGCACCUUCACAUCUCAUCGCCACCACCACCUCGCGAACCAUCCGGCGAUGCUGAUGUUUAAAGACUUUUUAUUUUUUAUUUUUAUUUCCACUUUUAUCUUUAUUUAUCUUCUUUAAGUAGUUUUUAUUUUAUUUUCCUUUAAUAUUAUUUCAAUUUUAGGUUUUAUAAUUUUUAUUGAAUAAUUUAUAGUUUUGGCUAUUUUAUUACGAGUAAUUAUGCUUCCUUAUAUUUCCUAAAGAGUUCUUGAUUUUAUCACAGUUAUAAAGAGCUCUAAAGCUCAUCAUCACUUAGGAACUAAAAAAUCACUGGAAAAGGUUCUCCACAACUGUCAAGUCCUGCUCGACCACGACCACAGCUACUACCAGAUAUAAUAUUCUGUUGGCGCAGGACUUAUGGACUAAUGAACCUCUACCACCACCGGAGUAUCCUCCUCCACUCUCAUCAUUGCCUUGGCUGAUUAUUCUCCAUAACUCCAAUUGAAGGAGUUCAUUCAUCAUUCAGGAAGUUUAACUUCUCUUCUUAUCUUAUGAGUAUUUAUCUAUAUUUUUCAGUAUAUCUAUCUUUGUACAUUGAGGGCAAUAUACAUCUUAAGUGUAGAGGGUCUUUUAUAUCAUUAUCAGAAAAAUCCCUGAAUUUUAUCUUGUUCUCAAAUCAUCUUCUCAUAUCAUUAUUAGAAUAAAAUUUGAUUAAUUUAUGAUUGUUAUUGAUAUGUCUUCAAUUAAAACAUAGGCAUUCAUGUAUUGAUUGUUUAAACUUUAAGGAAUUAGAUAAUCAAGCAGGAUAAGUUGAUUUUUGAGAAUUAAAAAUUUUUAGGUUGUUUCCCCAAGUUUAGGUAUUAUCUCGAGUUAAAAUUCACAGGGUUAACAUCAACAAGCCAUAAUUUCUGUAAGAUCUUGAGCCUUUAGAGCAACUAUUAUUUCUUUCAUGCUCACUGUUAUUAUUGAUAAUGAGUGUGUCAAUAUUGAUUUAUUAUUCUAGAACUUGCUUGAUUAUGCAUGUCAAGACCACACCCUUGAGUUAAUAUGUCAAUAUGAUAAAGGCACCUAGGUUUAACCCACUCACUCCAUAAAAGCAUACCUUCAUAAUUUACCCUUAGUGAACCCCUUUGAGCCUAACAAGCCAUUAAUUGAUUUACCCUCAAUGUUAACCCAUAACACAUUAUUGUUGAAAUCCCCUAAUUUGAUCCCUAUUUUUGUCGAGAUUUGAUUUGAAUUAUUGCAUAGCUAUGUUUUAUUCUUCGUUGCAAUAAUUAGCAAAGUCCUAUGUUAUUUCACUUGUUUAUUUCACUUGUUCCUAAAAAAAAAUACAAUACUUACUUACAUAUUAAUAGUAAUUCGUCAUUUUUGAGCUUAAGUGUUAAUUCCAUAUUCUAAGAAGAAGCUCACUCGUAUUCAACUUAUAAUUAGUUGUUUUUCUAGUUAGGUGAUUUUUUUAAUUCAAUCUCGAUUCUAACCUUUCCUUUUAGCUUGUGACCACACCCCCUAACCAAAGCCACGUUACAACCCUCUAAAGACCUUUUGAUUGAUGUAUCAUCUCAAUAUAUAGUGGUGGAGAUUUGAUUUUCUGCAAGCCUAUGGUAAUAACUUUUCAUAUUGACUAAUGAGUGCUUCAUUUAUUAUCCUUAAACACCUCGAGUGAUUUGAGUGAAUCUUUAGUGAGGAUGUUAAACUCCGUGAUAUUUUGAAUCAAAGGUAAUCACUUAGAUGAGGGGAGACACCUAUGUUUUCGUGAUGAAAUGCUCAACUUGGAAUGUUUGAAACUUUGAUAUUCUUCUAGUUGAAUUCUCCAUGUAUGAUUACUUAUGAUUUAUUUUAAGAUAUUAUUGAUAGAGAUUAUAGAUUGAGAAGAAUUUAUUUUGAUUGUGAGUUGAGGAUUUUGCUUGAGGACAAGCAAACGCUUAAGUGUGAGAGUUUUUGAUAAACCGCAAUUUAUACAUAUUUUUAUCCCAUGCUUAGCACAUUUAUAUAUGAUUUCUCCUUAGAUUUGGUGAAUUUGAUGCACCAAAUCCUUUAAUUUCAUGUUUUAUACUUAGGUGACCAUAGCAGAGUAAAAAGAGCGAGAAACAGGUCGACAACGGAGAAAAAUAGACCCACAUGGGAAAUCGACACGGCCUGGACUUCCUCACACGGGUAAGCCACACGGCCAUGUCCAUUUGGCAGGAUCGGCGUACAAUUUACACAGGUAGACUACAUGCCCACGAUUAUUUAGCAACCUUCACCACGGUUUGGAGCAAUCGCACACGGGCGUGUCACACAGGCGUGUCCCUGUCGAGCCCAAGUAAAGUCCUAUUCGAAAAAGGCCACUUUUGAUGGCUCUUAGGCAUUCUAAAGCCUAUUUAAACACCUGAGGAGGCAGUUAGAACGGGGGGACACAGAGUAGGAAGCAAUGAAUUACUCGAAAAAAGCCGAUUGAUCCAUCUCAGAAGCUGGAUUAUUCAUCAAGACUGAAGAUCUCUCUUCAAUUUCCAUUCAAGAGUUUUGGGUUUUCUUUAUGUUUUGUAUUCAUUAUUCUUCUAAGGGGAAUGAAACUUAAGACGAAUCUUGUUAUUAUUAUCUAAAUUAUAAGAUAAAUAUUUGACUUGUUCUUAAUUAUGUAUUCUUAAUUCUUGUCUUAAUAUUUCAGGAUAUUGAUUCAGGUUAAUGCGCUUAUUCAGAGGAGCAAAAGUCCCUGUCUAAGAGUAAAUUUGUCAUAAUUAAGUGGAGUUGAUUGCACGCCUAGAGAUAGGGUGACAAGAUUUUACCAGAUUAUGGUGAAACCUAAUAAGGGAUCCAUAGAUCGAGUAAAUGCAACACUAGGGCGUUAAUUACAAAGAGAUUUCAAUUAAUCAACCUAGGGUUAGAUGUUAUUAGUCUCGAGAGAGAUAAUAAUAUAACUUAGGGAUUUCUACGAAUCAAGUUAAAUGAACAAAUCGCCUGAUUCAGAGUCAAAUAACAAGUGAAUCUAGGUGGAUUUUUCCUUGGGUAUUGUCUUUAUUAAUCGAAUUUUCUAAAAAGUAUUUUCCCAAUUUUUAGGCUAGAUAAUAAAAAGAAAGUAAUUACUAGUACUCUUGGUUCCUUUGGGUUCGACAAUUCGGUCUUGUUAAAGCUAUACUACUGUUCGAUAGGUACACUUGCCUUCAUCGUGAUAAUAGUUGGUUUUAAGAACGAUCAUUUAUAAAUUAUUUAAAACUUAUCGCAAAUAUCAUAAAUCAGUAGUCGUUUUACAUGGAUUUAUCUCAUUAAAUGAAUGUCUCAGAUGGUUGACUAUUUUUUUCAGUUUCAAAAAAUGGUCAAAACUCAGUUUGGGAAAGAUAUUAAAAAUUUUCAAAGUGAUUGGGGUGGUGAGUUUCGUGCCUUCGCAUCAACUCUUGCUAUUCAUGGGAUACUUCAUCACCUCUCCCGUCCACAUACAUCCGAGCAGAACGGUAUAGCCAAACCAAAACAUCAAGACAUUGUUGAGAUAGGUCUUACUCUCUUGACCCAAGCUAAUAUGCCCAUGGAUUUCUGGGGUUACGUGUUUUGCAGUGUCGUUUAUCUCAUUAAUCGUCCACCUACCUUGGUUUUGAAAGGUCAAUCUCCGUAUUAAGUUCUUCAUGGUAGUGACCCUACAUAUGAUCAUUUACGGGUGUUUGGGUGUUAUUUCUUUCCAUACUUGCGUCUGUUUCUGCAACAGAACUUGGAUUUUUGUUCUCAGCCUUGCACAUUUUUAGGGUAUAGUUCUCAACAUAAAGGCUAUCACUGCCUCACACCAGAUGGUAAGGCCAUUGUCUCUUAUCAUGUUGUGUUUGAUGAACGUCGAUUUCUCUUUUUUUUUAUGUUGCAAACACCGUCCAGUCAGGUCCAUGUAUCUCUACAUAUGUUCCUAUUGCUCAGUCUUCAUCUGCCGCGCCACGGCAUCCUCGCUUGUUCAGCCCAUUAAGUCCUCUUGACUCUUACUCCUAAUUGUAGUUCCAAGACGUCUAUUUCAGUUGACUCUCCGACUGAAUUGGGUUCUACUCAUGAGGUGCACCGGCUCUUCACCUCAUCUCCUGAAUCACGUCAAUGCGACUCUACUACAAUUCCCUCGGUUAUUCCAUCUAUUUUUCUAGAGAAUACUCAUAACAUGAUUACUCGGUCUAAGGCUAGUAUUUCUAAACCCAAAGCUUUCUCUGUUGAAACUGUCGACUAUGAGCCACACACGAUUGAUGAGGCACUCGCUAGUAAGGAAUGGCAAUUAGUUGUCCAAGCUGAGUUUGUUGCUCUAAUGGCUAACUCUACCUGGGAGCUUGUUCCCUUACUUCAUUGUCGAAAAGUGAUUGGGUGUAAGUGGCUUUUUAAAAUAAAAAAAAUCCUGAUGGGGCUAUCACUUGGCACAAGGCUCAGCUGGUAGCAAUGGGUUGUUCUUAGGUACCUGGGUGUGAUUUCAAAGAAACCUUUAGUCUAAUGGUUACACCUACUACUAUUAGAAAAAUAUUGUCUAUUUCUGUUUCCAAUGGGUGAAAACUUCGUCAAAUCGAUGUGAAUAAUACCUUUUAAGAUGGUGAUCUCACUGACGAAGUGUUUAUGCAACAACCUUCAGGCUAUGUUCAGAUUGGUCCAUAUCGUGAGCUAUUGGUGUGUCGUCUGAAAAAGGAGUUGUAUGGAUUACGACAAGCUCCACGUGCCUGGUUUGAUAAAUUGAAACAUUUUUUCUACCAGAUUUGUGUUAUCCAAAUCUGAUGCAUCCCUGUUUGUUCGAGUUACGUACGUAUCCACUAUUUAUGUUCUAAUCUAUGUGGAUGAUAUUACCGUUACUGAAAGUACGACUGACGGUAUAAAUGACUUUAUUCAACAGUUACAUAAUAAGUUUUCCCUUAAAGAUAUGGGAGAUCUUCACUACUUCUUAGGUAUUCAAGUCACUCGGUCAUCCACUAGAAGUCUUCAUUUGUGCCAACGCAAAUACAUCUAGGAUCUGCUUGACAGGAGUUCCUGGGCUAACGUGAAAAGUGUUCACACACUGAUGGUUAGUUCUUUUACAUUGUCUAAAGAUGAGAAAAAUCACCUCGUUGAUCCCACUAAAUAUAGGAGCCUUGCCGGAGCAUUACAAUAUGUGGUCUUAACUCGGCCUAAUAUUGCUUAUGCGGUAAAUCGUGUUUGUCAAUUCAUGCAUAUGCCUACUACGGUACAUUUGGUGGCUUUGAAAAUAAUCUUGCGCUAUUUACGUGGCACUAUUGAUCAUGGGUUAAUUUUUCGUCCGUUCGACAGAUUGUCUUUAGUUGGCUAUGCUGAUUCCAACUGGGGACUGGAUUUUGAUGAUCGUCAGUCAACCAUAGACUAUUGUGUGUAUUUUGGACAUACAUCCAUCUUUUUGUGUUCUAUGAACCAACAAGUUAUUUUUCACUCCACGGCUGAUGCGAAGUAUCGUAGUCUAGCAGUAGCUACCAGUGAUGUUACUUGGUUAGCCUCUCUGUUAACGAAUUUAAAAAUUUGUUCUGCAAAUCCACUUACUAUUUGGUGUGACAAAUCUAGUGCAAUAGUGGUUGCUGCUAAUCCGGUUUUACACUCCAAAUUUAAACAUGGCGAGCUUGAUCUAUUUUUUGUUCGCGAAAAUGUCACUAAUGGUUCUCUCAUUGUUGGCGAAGUUCCGGCAUGUGAUCAGGUUGCUAGUAUUCUCACAAAACCAUUGUCCAUCUCUACUUUUGCUAGGUUUCAUAGUCUGCCUCAAGUCUUACCUCUUGAGAAGCUGGAUGAAGCCGGGUGAAUAUUAGAGUAUAGACUCUAUUAGUCUGUUACCAUUUUGUUAUACAGGCUAGAAUAUUGUUAGUAACCAGUUAGCAGCAAUUAGUCAUAGCAGUUAGUCAUACAAGUAUAAAUUCUAUUUAUGUAUAGUUCAAAGGUAAGCUAAUAAUACCAGAAGAGAUUUAACGUGUUCAUUCUACUUUCUUUGUUAUUCUUCAUAAUACAGUUGUUAACAGGCUUGAUAUCAUCUCUUAGAGAAAACUAGGAGAGAUAAGAGUAAGAGUAUGAGCAAACUAUGGAUAAGGCUCUACCAUAAUACCUUAGAUGCAGUUAAAGUAAGAGUAAGAGCCAACUUGUUUGGCUUGAUAGCAUCCCCUUAUAGAAAAAGCUCUACCGCAUGGCAUUAGAGCAAUAAAAGUAACACUUAAUUUCUUGGUUGAUAGCAUCUCGUAGGGGAAAAAGGUUUACCAUGUGACAUGAAAGUAAUUAAAGUAAGAUUAAGAGCUAACUUGUUUGUCUUAAUCGCAUUGUUUAAGAGAGAUCCAAAUAAAUUUACUCAAAAUAUGUUAAUCAAAUAAUGCAAAUUACAAUGUUUUGUCAAUUUUUCCUUUAAUUGUAACUGGGUUAAAGUUGGUAGUUGUAACUGGUACUAAUAGAAUAGAUUUGGUAGAAAUGGUUGAAAGCAACAUAAGCAAAGAUGACUUUGAUGUCAUUGUAUUGACCACGUGGGAACUAUAGAAUGUAGAGAAUAGUAUGGUGAUUGGCAUCAGAAUGUUGCUAACUUUGAGGACAGUAGAUAAGGAUGGAUCCAAAGGGGCUGUGGGCGGCCCCCUUGAAAUUUUCAAAUUUUUGAAUUUAUAUAUAAAUUAUCAUGUAUUUUAGAUUUGGUGUCCACAUUGUAUAACAUUCACCCCCUUUGCCAAAUUGUAUUUCAUAUCAUUCGCCCCCUUAAACCAUAAGGUUAUACUUUAUAUUAACAAAGUAUUUUCCAUUUUUUUUAAUUAUAUAAAUUUAAUAAUAACAAUAAUAAUAAAAUAUUAAUGUAUGAUAGGCAUUGAAAGACUAAACUUAUAGGUCCAAUUUGGACUUUAAAGCCAAAUUCUAUAAUUAAUUAAUUGAUUUGGCUCAUACCUAUACAUAUUAGGUUAGCGACUUUCUUGUAUUUUGAUUUGUAUGUCUUCUUAAGGAAUUAUCUUCCUUUGGUAAAGUGUUGACACUACCAAGAGAAAAAGAAAGGAUUUUGAUGACGAGACUAAGAGUAUAGAGCAAAAAUAUACAAAUUAUCUUCCUCUUGGCUCCUUAUGCAAAAAACCUCUCGGUAAAUUUUUUGCAUAAAUUAUGUUCUUUAUUUAUUUGACUUAUUUUUUUUAUUUUUUCCUAAUAUAUUUUGUUUAAUAUAUUAUUAAAAUCAUCAGGUUUUUCGAUUAAAUAAUGGUCAAUAAAAAGAUCGAAUCUAUUUUUUUAAAAAAAAGGUGUCAGAAAGCAAUAGUGAUCAACCAGUUCCUUAACCUUCUGUUAUUCGUGAAGAAAAACCAAAUAUUGGAUAUUCCCAAGCUCCUGAAUGAAAUAUUAGGUCUUAUCAAGCCCAAACUUUUGAAUGCGAUAUGGAGUCUUCCCCAGUUCUUAAACUAGAUUGUUACACUCCUUACCUGAUCCGAUCACCAAAUCCAUGUAGAGAGUACCACAACUUAAACCAUAUGAAUUGAAUAAUAAAUAUUUGAAAUUUAUUAAAGUAUCGAGUUCUUGGUGUAACCCUCAGUAUAAUAAUAUGAAACAAUCAAAUCAAUGAUACGCCAGGAACAAACAUUUUUAGGAAAAACACAUGGCGGAAACCUUACAAAAGUUUAUAAGUUUAUAUGAAAUGUAAGAUGAGUUAAUCCCAUACAAUAGUUUCAAGUGCAUUUUUGGCAGUUAAAACAACACUCUAAAACUAUUUGGUGUAGAUGCCAAUGAGACAAUCAUGUGGAAUAAGAUAUAGUAGCAUAAACACAUACAUCACUUACCAUGUCAUUAUAACAUAUACUAACCACAUAAACAAAUUUCUCGAGCUGCGAACGAACAAGUUUACCCAAACAUCUGGGGUUGGUAGAUAGCUUAUCAGAAAAGCCCUCCAAAUCCUAGAGUUCACCAAAACCUGGAGUUCGCCAAAUAGAGAUUCCCAUAGAAUACGCCAAACACACAACCAAAAAACAAAUACUCUACUAACUUACUUAUUUUUUAUUCUUAGCAUAAACAACUAUGCGCCAAAAAGUAACUUGAUACAUUAUCCAUCAGGCGGGUUGUUACAAUUCUCCCUCACUUAGAAAAUUUUGUCCUCAAAAUUCUUAACGGUGAAUAACUGAGGAUAUUGUUCUUUUAUUGAACUCUCUCUUUCCCAAGUGGAUUCUUUUUUAUUGUGAUUUCUCCAUAAUACAUUAACAAAAGGAAUUCUUUUUCUUCUCAACUUUUUUACCUCCCUUGCUAAUGCGAACAGGUUCUUCUUCAUAGGAUAUGUUUGGCUCCUUUUCUAAUGCUUUGACUUGUACCACAUGAUCUGGUUUGGAUUGAUAUUUUCUUAACACGAACACAUUAAUCACAUUGUGUAUCUUUGAUAACUCUAGUGGCAACACCAAUCUGUAUGCCACUGGACCAACCAGUUCCAAAAUCUCAUAUGGUCCUACGAAAUGCAGACUUAAUUUCCCUUUUUAUUCUAACCUUAUGAUAUUCUUCCAAAGAGAAAACUUCAUAAAUACAUUGUCACCCACUUCGAAAGAGAUUUCUUUCCUUUUUAGAUCAACAUAAGCUUUCUGACGAUCUUAAGUUACUUUCAGAUGAUUUCAAAUAAUAGAGACUUUCUCUUCUGUUUCUUGUACUAAAUCAAAACCAACUAUUUUCCUUUCACUGAGUUCCAUCCAACAGGUGGGAGAUCUACGCUUUCUUCCAUACAAAGCUUCAAAUGGUGAUAUUUCUAGAUUGGCGUGAUGACUAUAAUUAUACACAAACUUUGGCAAAGAAAGAUAUCUUUCUCAAUUCAUUCUGAAAUCUAUAAUACAACUUCUGAGCAUGUCUUCCAAAACUUGAAUUACUCUUUCAAAUUGUUCACCUGAUUAGGGAUGAAAGGCAGUACUGAAUCAUAUCUUGGUUCCUAACGAUUCUUGUUGUUGUCUUCAAAAUCUUGAUGUAAACAUUAGGUCUCGAUCUAAAACUACGGAUGUUGGAAUCCCAUGAAGACAUACAACUUCAGAAACGCAGAGCUUAGCCAACUUUUCCAAUGAGUAAUUUGUGCGGGCAAACAAGAAAUAGACUGACUUAGUAAGUCGAUCUACAAUUGCGCAAACUGAAUUCUUCUUUGAAAGGCUGAAAGGGAGAGCCAAAACAAAAUCCAUGGUGAUGUUAUCCCACUUCCACUUAGGUAUCUCUAAAGGGUACAACUUGCCUAAGGGAACCUGAUGUUCUGUUUUAAUCCGCUGACAUGUCAAAGAAAUGGAGAUGUACUCUGUUAUUUCUUUCUUCAUUCCAGGUCACCAAUACAAACUUCUCAAAUUACGAUACAUUUUAUGUAAUGCUCUCAACCCGACUCGAUAUGUCGAGUUUGGAUCUCGGGUAUUACUAUACACAGUACUUAGUAAAAUAUCAAAAUAGCUGACAAAUACUCUUUACUAAAAACAUUUUCUUAUUAUUUUAACCGAAAGAGUAAAUAUUUAAUAACAAGGGUAAAUAUUAGAAAUAAAAUAAAUUAUUACAUCAGACUUGGUACAACUGAUUAUAGUAUAAAAUUUUGUUAAAGACAGACUCUUGGGGAAUAACCCUAAUCUAUGCCACUUUUCCACUAUAUACAUAAUAACCCACUUCAGCACUAUCUUGGCAUACUCCUAGCAUCGUCACUCCUAACGCAUUCUCUACCCAUACACCUAAAAACAACAACAUUAUAAGCUCAAGAGAACUUAGUGAAUUUUAUCCCAAAAAUACCUUGGCGAGUACUUUAAUUAUUUGACUAACAUCUGUGCGCCAUCUAUCUUUUUAAACCACCUUCUUCUGAAUCAGACGGAUACUAUUACAGAUUCGACUUUCACUUAUACGCCAGCUAUCAUACUCUUAACACACUCACUUAUUCUAGAACAGUUUUUCACAUAUAUUAAUCAUUGACAGAUACAUACAUUUUUGGUGAAUACUUACGCAGAUCUAAAUACCAUCAAACUACUAAUCAAAUCAUACAUUGAUUCGAUACCAUACAAACUCCCAUUGAUAAUGUACUACACAAUUUAUUCAAAUGAAUUUUCCACUACUUUGUUACAGGACCCCAGAAAAUCAUCAUAACAAUAACUCAAUUUCCAUAUGAUUUCAAAAAAGGAUAUAAUACAACCCAAAUAUGGCGAAUUCCAGACAACUCAGAUUCAACAACUGUAUAACAUAGACAAAAUCACAUUGAUAAUUUCUUAUGUCCCAAAUAACUAUGAAUACGUCCAUAUUCAAUACUAACAGAUAAUCAUGACGGAUACCCUUCUUAUACAUAUAUGCAUUUCUUUUCUAAAAAUCUCUUAAGACUUACUCAGUUAUAUCACAGAUCUUAUUCAACCUUUAACUUCAGACGUAUCAUAAACCUAUCAGAUCAAUAUCUGUCACAAAGAAAUUGGCAUUUACCCAGAUUUUACAAUAAAGGCAGAUAAUCAUAUUAUAGUAGACAAACUUAACUGAAAGUGCUACAAAGGCCAAACAAAAUAUGCCAUAAAGGCUUCAUACAAAAUCAUGUGUUUACUAUCUCGACGGAUGAUACAUGAUAUUCGUGACAGGUUUUAAAAAUUUAUAAUUAAUCGUUCUUUAAAUUAACUAUUAUCACGAUGAAGGCAAGUGUACCUCUCGAACAGUAAUAUAGCUUUAGCAAGACCGGAUGGUCGAACCCAAAGGAACCAAGAGUACUAGUAAUUGCUUUCUUUUUAUUAUCUAGCCUAAAAAUUAAGGGAUUUAUUUAUCUAAUUAAUUAACUAAACUAAGGGUGCACAGAAAGAAAAUUGGGGAAAAGCUUUUGGGAAAACUCGAUUGAUUAAGACAAUACCCAAGAAAAAAUCCACCUAGACUUCACUUAUUAUUUGACUCUAAAUCAGACGAUUUAUUCAUUUGACUUGAUCCGUAGAAAUCCCUAAGUUAUAUUAUUAUCUCUCUUGAGACUAAUAACGUCUAACCCUAGGCUGAUAAUUGAAAUCUCUUUCUAAUUAACACUCUAGUGUUGCAUUAACUCGAUCUAUGGACUCCCUUAUUAGGUUUCACCCUAAUCCAGUAAAAUCUUGUCACCCUAUCUCUAGGCGUGCAAUCAACUCCGCUUAAUUAUGAAAAAUUUACUCUUAGAUAAGGACUUUUGCUCCUCUAAAUAAGCACAUUAACUUGAAUCAAUAUCUUGGAAUACUAAAACAAGAAUUAAGAACACAUAAUUAAGAACAAGUCAAAUAUUUAUCAUACAAUUCAGAAAAUAAUAACAAGAUCCGUCUUAGGUUUCAUUCCCCUUAGGUAUUUUGAGGUUUUAGUUCAUAAUUAUGAAAGAAAACAUCUCAAAAGAAUAAUGAUAACAAAACAUAAAGAAAACCCAAAACUCCUGAAGGAAAUUGAAGGGAGAUCCUCAGUCUUGACGAUGAAUCCGGCUUUUGAAAUGGAUCAAUCGGCUUUCCUUGAGUAAUUCAUUGCCUCCUACUCCCUAUGUAUCUUCUAAGUGCCUCCUCAGGUGUUUAAAUAGGCUUUAUAAUGUCUAAAAGCCCUCAAGAGUGGCCUUUUCUGAAUAGGACUGAACUUGGGCUCGAUAGGGACACGCCCGUGUGACACGCUCGUGUGCAAUUGCUUCAGACCGUAGUCAAGGCUACUAAAUAGGCAUGGGCGUGUGGUCUACCCGUGUGAGGAAGUCCAGGCCGUGUUGAUUUCUGAUGUUGGUCCAUUUUCUUCAUUUUCAGCCCGUUUCUCGCUCUUUUUACUCUCUUAUGCUCACCAAAGUAUAAAACAUGAAAUUAAAGGAUUAGGAGCAUCGAAUUCACCAAAUCUAAGGAGAAUUCAUCCAAAAAUAUGCUAAGCAUGAGGUAAAAAUAUGUAUAAAUUAUGGUUUAUUAAAUACCCCCACACUUAAGCGUUUGCUUGUCCUCUAGCAAAAUCCUCAACUCAAAAUCAAAAUAAAUUCUUCUUAACUUGUAACCCCUAUCAAUAAUAUCUCAAAAUAAACCAUAAGUAAUCAUGUAUUGAGAAUUCAACUAGAAAAGCAUUAAAGUCUCAAACAUUCCAAGUCGAGCAUUUUAUCACGAAAACAUAGGUGUUUCCCCUCAUCUAAGUGAUUACCUUUGAUUCAAAAUAUCACAAAGUUUUAACAUCCUCACUAAAGAUUCACUCAAAUCACUCGAGGUGUUUAAGGAUAAUAAAUGAAGCACUCAUUAGUCAAUAUGAAAAGUUAUUACCAAAGGCUUGUAUGAAAGUCAAAUCUCCACCACUAUAAAUUGAGAUGAUACAUCAAUCAAAAGGUCUUUAGAGGGUUGUAAAGUGGCUUUUGUUAGGGGGUGUAGUCACAAGCUGAAAGAAAGGUUAGAAUCAAGAUUGAAUUGAAAAAUUACCUAACUAGAAAAAUAACUAGUCAUUACUUGAAUACAUGUAAACUUCUUCUCAAAAUAUGAAAUUGAACACUUAAGCUCGAAAACAACGAAUUACUACUAAUAUAUGUAUGUAUUAUAAUUUUUUUUAAGAACAAGUCAAAUAAUAUAGGUUAAUUAUCAAAAAUAAAACAUAGCUAAGUAAUUUAUUCAAAUUAAAUCUCGACAAAAAUUGGGAUCAACUUGAUUGAGGGGAUUUCAACAGUAAUAGGUUAUAGGUUAAUAUUGAGGGUAAAUCAAUGGAUAGUUUGUUAGGCUCAAAGGGGUUCACUAAGGACAAAUUAUGAAGGUAGGCUUUUGUGGAGUGAGUGGGUUAAACCUAAGUGCCUUUAUCAUCUCGACAUAUUAAAUCAAAUGGUGUGGUCUUGACAUGCAUAAUCAAGCAAGUUCUAGAAUAACAAAUCAAUACUGACGCACUCAUAAUAAAAGUGAGCAUGAAAGAAAUAAAAUAUGAUCUAAAAGCUUAAAAUCUCACAAAAAAUUAUGGCUUUUUGAUGUUGAACCUGUGAAUUUCAACUCAAGAUAAUACCUAAACUUGGGGAAACAACCUAAAAAUUUUAAAUACUCAAAAAUCAACUUAUCAUGUCUGAUUUUCUAAUUCCUUCAAAGUUUAAACGGUCAAUGCAUAAAUACCUAUGUUUUAAUUCAAGACAUAUCAAUAAAAAUCAUAAAUUAAUCAAAAUUCAUUCUAAUAAUGAUAUGAGAAGAUUAUUUGAGAACAAGACAAAAUUUAAGGAUUUUUUUGAUAAUGAUAUAAAGGCCCCCCACACUUAAGAUGUACAUUGCCCUCAAUGUACAAAGUUAGAUUUACAACGAUAUAGAUAUAAGAUCAUAAGAUAGGGAGAGAAGUGAAACUUCCUGAAUAAUGAAUGAACUCCUUGAAUUGGAGUUAUGGAGAAUAAUCGGCAAAGGCAAUGAUAAGAUUGGAGGAGGAUACUUCGGUGGUGGUAGAGGUUGGGUUCCACAACCUCAGUGUCCAGCGAAGAAGUUAUCGUGGUGGUCGAGCAAGACAUUACAGUUAUGGAGAACCUUUUCCAGUGGAGUUUCAAGUUUCUAAGUGAUGGUGAGCUUUGGGGCUCUUAGUAACUGUGAUAAAAUCAAGAACUCUUUAAGAAAUGUAAGGAAGCAUAAUUACACGUAAUGAAAUAGCUGAAACUAUAAAUUAUUCAAUAAAAAUUAUAAAACCUAAAAAUGAAAUAAUAUUAAAGGAAAAUAAAAUAAAAAGUACUUAAAAAUGUAAAUAAAAAUAAAAUAUAAAAAGUUUUUAAACAUCGUCAUCGCUGGAUGGUUCGCAAGGUGGUGGUGGUGAUGAGAUGUGAAGGUGCUGACAAAUCUGAUGUAGAGUAGCAUCAAUGUUAUCAAAGCGCUGAAAACACUAUUGCUCAAAUCAAUAAGGCACUCAGAGAUGUCAGAGUAUGAAAUCGCCGCAUGAACUGGACGAUAGAUGGGUUGUGGCUGAAAUGGUGGGUCCUCAUGACGUGGAGGGACAUCAUUAGUAAUUCCUCCGGGUCCUCCUCCUCGGCUGACUGGAUGAGGCGGUACUGAGCAGAAUCGAUUCCAUGUCAUUUCUCGAUCAUCCUCAUAUGUAGCAUGCUUGAAAUACCCUGUGGGGACAUCUGGCCGAUGAGAGUGAGCGAGAAUGAUUGUGCCACUGUGUUAAAGAGUCCAAAGUGCCGAAUCAAUCGAGUCACAUAGGGGCCAAUAGAGAUGACUCCCUUCCUAUGCCGUUCCGUCUGAUGGCGAAUGGCGAAGGCAAUGAAAUAGGCGAGGUCGAAGAUGUGCCCAUUCGCCAUGCUCCAUAAAAAGUAGGCAUCGUGAGUGUUGACAAUGCCGGUGCUCUCUUGUCUUCCUGUCAGAGUGUGGGCCAAGAGGGCGUGUAGGUACCUCAAGGAUGGAGGGAGAGUUGAUGUUUUGGAACGGUUAGGGUCGUAGGUGGCCGAGGGAGGGACGAGGGCCUCCAGCACUUCGAGUGAGAGUAAUGGAUGUGGCGAUGAAGGAUGUCGAGUUCGUUGUAGUCCAUGAACUCCUCCGUAUACAGCCCUAGUACAAUUUUGAACUCCGGUACGCUCAAUUGGCACACUAAACCACCAAGACGAAACUGGACCGUUGUAGGAUCGUCGAACUCUGUCAUAACGGUUUGGAAGUGAAAGGUCGAAUAGAGUUCCAGUGUGAGCUUAAGGUAUAUCGGCUUGAUGAUCCCAAAGAAGAGCUCCCAUGGAUCAGUCGACAGAAGGGCUCUGACCGCGUCAACCAGUUGGACUUGUUCAAGUGCGGCCCAUUCAAUGCAGCGGCCCACACCUAAGGGUCAGGCCCGAAGUAUCUAAAAGAGUUCUUCCUAAGGUCCUAAGGGAAACUAAAUAAAGGGGUGCCUGAUCUCCACGGUAGGACCCAAGGAUGACACUGCUCAUUUCCUUUUCUUUGAAGCGGGGACAGCGAUUUUCUUACCAUGGUUUGACAUGAUAUCUGCAAUGGCAAGACGAAAAAAAUAAUAAAUAAAAAAGUAAACUUACUCUCCAACAAUAACAUGAAAAAACAUAUGCAAUGCAUGUUAAAACUAAUAGAGAUACUUUAUAGGAGUCAUGUACUAAAGAACAACUACGCUGAAAAAUAACCCAAUCAGAUAUAUUAAGUCAUUACUACGAAUAGGAAUAUGAUAAUAAUGCCUAGUGAAUGAAUGCAUAUGGAAAUGAUGAUAUGGAAAAUAGAAUGAAGUCCAUGGCAACACAAGAAUGGUGGUAUCAUAAUGCAUCAACUAAGAUAGCAAGAAACAAAGAGCAUAAGCAAGGCUAUUAUUAGAACUAUGAAGAUUAACAGUCAAAAUAAAACAAGAAAAAUCGAAUUCAUAAACGAAAUGAAGAGAAAAGAAUGGACAAACGCAAAAGCUUGGUAGAGGGAGGAGCUUGGGCCGUCGUUAGUGGUGUUGUGGUUGGCGCACGGGCGUGGCAGGAAGGCGUGGGCAAGAGUUACGGCGGCUACAGUUAGGGAUUUUGGGGAAGGGGAUGAUGAAUAUAAGGGGUUUAUUCAACUCGUGUUUAUCGCGAUUUUUAAAUUUGGGCACGUCUGAAAUUCGUCCCACGCCGAUGUCCUUUGGGCGUGUUGGUGCACAUGGCCGUGUCGUACGGUCGUGUCCUACUUCGUUCACUUCUCCCACGCUCGUGUGUAUAAGCACACGCCCGUGUUGUUUGAUCAGUCUUGAGCACGGUUGGUGGGCACGGGCGUGUCGCACACUUGUGCUAAAUUCUCAGUUUCAACCACGAUUUCAAGACACGGGCGUGUCACACGCCCGUGUUGAUUUGAAAGACUCACCCACGGCCACGUUACACAGCCGUGGCAACUUAUCACAUCUCGUGUUAAGCAAAAAUUUUUCCCUGUUUCCACACGGUCGUGUCGCAAGGCCGUGUCUCCUCCCGUAGUGUGAGCACGGCCUAAGGCACACCUGUGUGCCUCACCGUGUGAAUUAGAAAACCAGUAUUUCAAUGACUCAGUUAGUGAUUAGAUGUUAAAAACUAAAAUUUUAAAGAAGGUAACACUAUUAGUGCUCGGGUUACCUCGCGAAAAGCAUUUAUUUAUAGUCUAAGCUCGACUUACCUCUCUGUUGCAUAGUCAUGGUAGUGCAAGGAGUUUACACUCCUCAUCCCUGCUAUCAAUUUUAUCAAAAUAAGGUUUUAGACAAGUACUAUUUACCUUAAACGUACCGAAUUUGGGAUGAAUUACCUCGACUGUGCCGUAUGGGAAAAUACUAAGUACCGUAAGAGGGAUUUCUCCAUUAGGUUCAAAGGUGGCAAUCCGAAGGUCUGCUGCAUCUAAUAGUACUUUGUUUCCAACCUUAAGUUGAGUUGGAGAAAUAUUGAGCUCGUCAUGGCAUGGUUUUUUUUAUCGUGUGAUUUCGAUUUCUGUGUCUGCCAUUCAUCUAGUUCCUCAACCUGUAGCCUUGUUCUUCAUAGAUGGGUUCUUUGUCGUUAUUUGAAUGUGGCUCAAGUGUGUUUCUCGAAUGUGUUUCCUGCACAGAGGGUUUCACCACAUGAUCAGUACUGAUAGAAUUUCGAGCUUGAGGAGUAAUUGAUUCAUCACCCAUACGAAGUGUGAGUUUACUUGUGCCAACAUCAAUUAUAGUUUUAGCAGUUGCUAGAAAGGACCGUCUUAAAAUUAAAGGUGCGUCGCUAUCCUCUUCUAUGUCUAGAACAACAAAAUCAAUUGGGAAAAUAAAUUUAUCGAUUUUUACCAAUACAUCUUCAAUGAUACCCCUGGGAAAUCUAAUAGUUUUAUCAGCUAACUGAAUACUCAUCCUAGUUUGUUUAGGUUUCCCAAUACCUAGUUGUUUAAACAUUUUAUAAGGCAUGAAAUUGAUACUAGCCCCUAAAUCAGCCAAAGCGUUAUUAACAUCUAAGCUACCAAUUAAAUAAGGAAUCGUAAAACUCCUUGGAUCUUUCAAUUUGUUGGCCAUGAUGUCUCGUUGAGAGCACCAAAAAUAUCCUAUUCUCUGUAAAAUAGUAAAAAUAACAGUAAAAGGGAAGUAGGGUCGAAUCCUCAGGGACCGGAUUGUACAAAUGCUCGUUUCUUGAAAUCCUGGACAAUUUCUUGGCCAAGAAAACCUGCGUUCCUGAAAAAUAAAAAAAAUAAAAUUAAGAAUCUGGAAAAAAAAAUAGAAUUUAAAGGGAAUUGAAAUUGCGAAAUUAAAUAAAUUGUCGAAAUUAAAAUGAGGAAAAAUAAAUAGAGUUGGGAAAAGAGAAAGUUUCUUAUGUGGCGAGAUUCCAGGCUCCGGUUGUCUCGUUCCGCCUUGGGUUCAAUCCUUGGCCUUUAAGUAACCCUUCCCAACUCAAGUAAGCCAGUUAUAGUGGAAGAGGAUGCCUACGACCACCAGCUCCAAAGAUUAGACUUACGAUUUUUAGGGAACCUGACUCUAACCAGUAAUCUAUGCUAGAUCAACGCUUCUCAAUGGCGAAUCCCAAGUCAUUUUGUCUCUUUGGCUCGCCAACCUUUGACGCAGUAAAUUAACAAACCGACUGUGCAAUCCUUUCAAAACAUACAAAGCGGUCGCCUUUGCAUAUGCUGAAAAGCUUACUUCUUAAGGGCCAUGGACGGAAGCGUCAGCCCGUAGUGCGGAGAAACGAUGAAUACUUGGCGAGAAGGCUAAGUACGGGUUCUAGGCCUCAAAAACCCUUUUUUGGGGAAUAUUGACAACCUUCAGCUAGAUAGGUUUUAAUGGCUCAUGAUAAUGGUGGAAAAGGAAAUAAAUAUAAAAAUAGAAAAUAAAAUUUUAUUCAAAGAAAAUAUGAAGAAACAAAAGCCUAGACUUUUAGGGGGAGAGUGUUUAUAGAAAAAGAUGAACACCCCAAAUAGAGUCACUUCACCCCCUAUUUAUAGUGCUAGGGAGAUAAUCUAAUUUAACUUAAAUUCUAAAAAGAUAAAUACAUUUAAUUAAAGAUAAUUAAAAUAAAAUCCUAAAAUUAAAUAAUCCUAAUAAUUAUCUUAAUAAUAAUUAUUCUAAUAUAAAUAAAAUGGAGUCUUAUAAAAUAAAAUCUCUUCUUUUUGAGUUUUCAGUCCUUGUGUCAUCCAUGCUCGCACUUUUGGAACAAUCUUUUUCCUGUGUCGCAUAUCAGCCCAUUGUGUCUCCAAAUUCGCACUUUUGUCCCUUAAUUUUUCUUUUUGCCUCCAAAUCAGUCCUUUAAAGAUAAAAAGACAUAAAUAGCUAAAAUUAGUAUGAUCAAGCUCAGAAUAAAUAUAUAAUUAGCACAUAAAAACAUGACAUUCUAGAGUGUUAUCAGGCCAGCUUAUUUUGCAGAAUGGCUGAGCAAACUGCAUUCAUCUCCACAUGCGAUGCCUCAUCUAACUUCCGUUUAUUCGCUAAAAGCUCCUUUAAAAAUUUGACUGUGUUCAGCAUCUACGAAAAAGCUUCAAUAAACGGUAAGUUAAUAUGUAAUUUCUUUAAAAUUUUAAGGAAUUUACCGAAUUGUUCGUCUGAGUGGUCUUUCCUUGUCGUAUUUGGGUAUAGUACACGUGGUUUGUACUCUUUACUUACCUGUUUUUGCUCAUUAUGGUCCACCUUACCUCUACCUUUACUUACCACAAUUUCUUGCCUUAGUUCUGGUUGAGGUGCAACUAACCCUUCCUCAUCUUGAAUGGUAAUCGCAUUGAGCUAUUCCCUUGGAUUAGAUUUAGUGUUACUCAACAGGCUACCUUGUGGUCGUUCAGAUACCAAUUUAGCAAGCUGGCUUAUCUGAGUUUUGAGCCCUUGAAUCGACACUUGUUGAUUCUUAAGUGCUUUCUUGGUAUUCUAAAAACAAGUUUCUAACACUGAGAUGAAUUUUGUUAGCAUCUCCUCAAGGUUCAGCUUUUUCUCUUGUUGGUAAGGUGGUUGUUGGAAGCCUGGAGGUGGUGGGGGUCUCUGAUUUCCUUGGCCUCCCCAUGAAAAAUUUGGAUGGUUCCUCCAACCUGCAUUUUAAGUGUUACUAUAAGGAUUAUUUUAAGAUCGAGGAUUAUUACCCAUGUAAUUCAACUGCUCAUUUUCCAUACUGUGGCCAUAAGGUGGGUAUUCUGAAUUGCUUGAUCCACCUCUACUUGCUUCGCACUGCAUUACUAGGUGAACCUGUGAAUAACCAAAUAACCCGUCAAUUUUCUUAUUUAAUAGUUCUACCUGACUAGAGAGCAUCAUGACUAAAUCAACGUUAAAAACGUCAGUUGUUUUAGUCGGCUUUGUCCUCAUUACUUGCCACUGAUAAUUAUUCAGUGAGAUCUCUUCUAUAAAUUCAUAAGCAUCUUCAGAUGUCCUAUUAUUGAUAGUCCCACCAGCGGAUGCAUCGAUAAGUUGCCUUGUUGAGGGGUUUACACCGUUGUAAAACGUCUGAACUUGCUGCCAUAGAGGCAACCCAUGAUGAGGGCACCUUCUCAACAGAUCUUUGUAUCUCUCCCAUGCAUCAUAAAGCGUUUUUAGAUUCAUCUGCAUAAAAGAAGAGAUAUCACUACGUAAUUUAGUCAUUUUAGCCGACGGAAAAUAUUUUAAUAAGAAUUUUUUAUUGUCAUUUGUUCCCAAGUAGUGAUUGACACUCGUGGUAACGAGUUCAACCACUGUUUAGAUUUGUUCCUCAAUGAAAAGGGAAAUAACCGAAGACGAAUGGAAUCAUCAGAAAUGCCAUUAAUUUUAAAUGUGUCGCAAAACUCUAGAAAAUUUGCCAAGUGAUUGUUCCUCAUCCUGCAAACUAUCAAACUAAACAAAUUGUUGUAUCAUUUGAAUUGUGUUAGGUUUUAGUUCAAAAUUAUUUGCAGCAACAGCUGGCCUAACUAUACUUGACUCAGUUCCUCUUAAAGUAGGUUUAGCAUAAUCAUACAUAGUACGCGGAGUAGGAUUCUGAUUAGCAGCAAUCGCAAGAGGUAGCGGAUUUUCCUGAUUUUCAGUCAUCUCCUCAGUUGUGGUGGAAAUAUCGUCCUCUUGCUCUUUCUCUGUGUAUCUUAGGCUUUGCCUUAUUUCUCUUCGAUUUCUGUGAGCUGUGCGAUCGAUCUCACUAUCAAAAAGUAAUGGUCCUGACGGGUUUCUUCUAGUCAUGCACUAUAAAAACUUGCCAUAAGCGAAUAAACGAAAAAUAAGAAUAAGAAAAUAAAAUAAAAAUUCAAAUUGCAACAAAAGUAAAAUGGCUAAAGUAAUAAAAAUUGAGUGUUCCUAAUAUCUUCGUUCCCCGGCAACAGCGCCAAAAACUUGAUACGUGAUAUUCGCGACAGGUUUUAAAAAUUUAUAAUUAAUCAUUCUUGAAACUAACUAUUAUCACGAUGAAGCCAAAUGUACCUAUCGAACAGCAAUAUAGCUUUAGCAAGACCGGAUUGUCAAACCUAAAGGAACCAAGAGUAUUAGUAAUUGCUUUCUUUUUAUUAUCUAGCCUAAAAAUUAAGGGAUUUGUUUAUCUAACUAAUUAACUAAACUAAGGGUGCACAGAAAGAAAAUUGGGGAAAAGCUUUUGGGAAAACUCAAUUGAUUAAGACAAUACCCAAGGAAAAAUCCACCUAGACUUCACUUGUUAUUUGACUCUGAAUCAGACGAUUUAUUCAUUUGACUUGAUCCGUAGAAAUCCCUAAGUUAUAUUAUUAUCUCUCUCGAGACUGAUAACGUCUAACCCUAGGUUGAUUAAUUGAAAUCUCUUUCUAAUUAACACCCUAGUGUUGCAUUAACUCGAUCUAUGGACUCCCUUAUUAGGUUUCACCCUAAUCCGGCAAAAUCUUGUCACCCUAUCUCUAAGCGUGCAAUCAACUCCGCUUAAUUAUGAAAAAUUUACUCUUAGACAGGGACUUUUGCUCCUCUGAAUAAGGGCAUUAACUUGAAUCAAUAUCUUGGAAGAUUAAACCAAGAAUUAAGAACACAUAAUUAAGAAUAAGUCAAAUAUUUAUCAUACAAUUCAGAUAAUAAUAACAAGAUCCGUCUUAGGUUUCAUUCCCCUUAGGUAUUUAGGGGUUUUAGUUCAUAAUUAUGAAAGAAAACAUCUCAAAAGAAAAAUGAUAACAAAAUAUAAAGAAAACCCAAAACUCCUGAAGGAAAUUGAAGGAGAUCCUCAGUCUUGACGAAUAAUCCAGAUUUUGAGAUGGAUCAAUUGGCUUUGCUUGAGUAAUUCAUUGCCUCCUACUCCCUGUGUGUCUUCUAAGUGCCUCCCCAGGUGUUUAAAUAGGCUUUAGAAUGCCUAAAAGCCCUCAAGAGUGGCCUUUUUCGAAUAAUACUGAACUUGGGCUCGACAGGGACACGCUUGUGUGACACGCCCGUGUGCGAUUGCUUCAGACCAUGGUCAAGGCUGUUAAAUAGGCACGGGCGUAUGGUCUAUCUGUGUGAGGAAGUCCAGGCCUUGUUAAUUUCCCAUGUUGGUCUAUUUUCUUCGUUUUCGGCCCAUUUCUUAUGCUCACCUAAGUAUAAAACAUGAAAUUAAAGGAUUAGGAGUAUCGAAUUCACCAAAUCUAAUGAUAAUUCAUCCAAAAAUAUGCUAAGCAUGAGGUAAGAAUAUGUAUAAAUUAUGGUUUAUCAAUGGACUAUCACAGAAGGUGUCAUAGGUUUCUCCAACAUGGGCUUAUACAUAAUUUCAUGUAUUGUGAUCUGCCAUUUCAAAUUAUACAUUAUCGAAGGCUACACCAUAAGCAUAUAUACAGACAUAUCUUGCAAUGGGUCUUAGCCAUAUAGCUUACACACACAUUCAUGUAUUGUAAUCUGCCAAUCCAAUCUUCAUCUUAUUAGAGGCUACACCAUGAGUGUUUCCAAAUCAAAGUAAGAUGUCAUGGGUCUCAACCUUAUAGUUUAUUCUUGUUUUCGUAUCGUGAUCUGCCAGUCUAGUUAGCAAUAUAACUGCCCUACCAGAGGCAUCAUAGAGGAAAAUUUGCUCAGCAUUUACUUCCCUAGAUGAUCACCUUUUUACUAGCUCAUACAUCUCCUACAUCAGACCUUACCUGCAUGCUUACCAAACAUUAUUCUUUUUAAUAGAAUUUAUACAUAUCAUCGUAGCACAUCUUUCAUCUUUGCUAAACUCAUAUUUAUACUAAUUUCUGUAGACAUCAUCAUCACAUAUAUAUAUGCUUCUUGUUUGAACAGUUCAUAUCAAAAAGUCAGGAUAGAGACCCACUUAACUCUCAUCUAUUGCAGUUCAAAGUUCUGGACUCAACCACCCUUCUCAAACCAACAGUAAAAACUGCUUACAAAACAUAGAAUCACCAUUAAAACUCAUUUACAUACAAAUUACCAUCAUCUUAAUCACUUUUCCGCUGCUAAUUAAUAAAUAAAUGUUGAGUAGUAAAUAAAUAAAAAAUUAACUAAGUUUUCAAAAAAAAAAAGUCACUGUGAUGAGAAGAAUAAGUUUUCAAAAACAAAAGUCACCGUGAUGAGAAGAAUGUCAAAAUUAAUUGGUUUUUGUUAACUCAUAUGUUUUUCUAAAAAUAGGUUAAGUUUUCUUCUGAAAUAAACAAAUAUUUUGAAAUGAUUGUUUUAUAAACUCCAAUCAUAGGCCAUCUUAGUGGUCGAUGUAAUCUCCCAAAUUCGGUUCUAACAUCUAGGUUGGGUUGGAGAGGUUACAAUAUAUAUAGAAGGAUUCAUCAAUAAUGGAAACUUGAAUACAAGCAAAGAAAGAAAUCAAUCAAUGUGAAUUACUAACAAGUUCAAAAGCAUAUAUUUGGAUUAUAUUUUGUAAAGUACAAGAAUGUCAAGGAAUUAGACAUUUUGUUUUGAUAGUGAUUAUAUUUUAUAUAUAUUUACUUUUAUGCACUUUCAUAUUGAGUUGAUCAACAGUUUUGAAACUUUAUAGAAAACUUCAAGGUAUCACUUGUUGCGUAAGUGAUAUUUUACUAAGGGUGCAUAAUUGGAGGCCUCCUAGAUAUGUGAAAAUAAUGUUUAAAAAUCCAUCAAAUAGUAAAAACAUAAAUGAAAUAGCAUAUUGAUAUAUAUGGUAUCUUGAGUGUUGAAUUAAACAUUCUUUAGUAAAAGAAUGUACAUUUUGCACAUUGUGGGUGUGUUGGUUUCUUAUAUAUCAAUUAAGCACAAAUUAAAGAAAAAUAAUAUAUAUCACCAUAGUGUUGUAAUAUUUUGUAAAAUUUGUAAAAUUAUAUAAGCAAAAAAGUUUACCUAUCUCGUUAAAUAAAACUCAUUGAGUUGGUUCUUAAUAUUGAAGAAUUAGAGUGGUUGACUUCUUUAUUCAUUUUAUCCAACUACAAGUUGGAUUAAAGUUGUGGAAAUAGAAUGGUUGAAAAUUUGUGUUAAUGAGAAUUAAAGUUGUGGCCACAACUGAUGCCGACUAUUUUCUAGAAACAGGGACUGAUGUCCAAAACAUGUAGUAAAAUAAAAUUUUAGACAUGUUAGCAUAUGAAUUUAUUAUAUUAUAGAUUCAAUGUAACACCCCUAUCCUAUCUCUGUUGCUGGAUUAGGAUUUCAGACUAUUACUAAGAAAAAUAGAACAUUUAACUUUCCAACAGAAACAAUUAUACAAUUAAAUACCAACAUAUAUCAAUUAAAUCUAAUCAUGGCAAAUAUUACACUUAUAGACCUUGAAUCGAGCCUAUGGAGCCCUAGAAAAAAUUUAGGAACAAUUUGGGAUCAAAUCGAAACAAAUCAAAACAUUUUGAAAAAAAUAUAAAAAUUUGGGAAAACAGGGGUCACACGGUUGUAUGGCCAAGUCGUGUGACAAAGCCUACACCGCGUAAACAUUAGAAGUCAAAACACUCAACUGUGUCCCAGCCUGUGUGUCUACUCAUGUGUAUAAUCGAAAUAGGGUCACACAGCUGUGCUGCAGACUGUAAACCGUGUGUGUAUUCGAAGUUAGGUCACACGACCAUGUGACCGACCGUGCCACAAACUGUUUUGAGACACACGGUCGUGUCACAGACCAUGUGAAAUAUGCACCUAAAAUAAUAAAUAUACACGACCAUGUGUGGUGACUAUGUGUGGCACAUGGUCGUGUGGUAGCUUGUGUCUCAGGCUGUGUGCUCCAUUUUUAACCCCUAAAUUAAGUUAAUCAAGCAUCAUUUCUUGCACAGCAAGACAUACCAUAUCUAACUAAUUUUACAUGGUAAAAAUCACAUUCAGAUCACCAAAUACAUACCAAAAUUUCAUUCAUCCUAUGUCUAACCAAUAUACCAUCAAAAGGCAUCUCAAUCCAUACAUUCAUUCAACUCAAGAACAAAGUUACAAUAAAGGAACAAGUUUUAUCAUUAGUUAACCAUUCAUGCCUAAAACCACCAAUCUAAUUGACGAAAAUAUGGGCAUACUCAACAAGCAACCAUUUCAAAACAUCAUCACCAAAUCUUUAUAUACCAUUUAGGAUCAACUUAAUUAUAUCCAACACAAGUACACAUCCAAAACAAAGCACAUCACUAGAAAUACCAAAAUAACUUAACGAUUUACACAUCAACAAUAAGACACCACAUCCCAAAAUGAAAUACAAAAGCUACCGAGAUGGCUGGAUAGUGUGUGCUCCAAAACAAUUCGUCUAGUCAGUCCAUAAAACGCCAACUCAACCAAUAUAGAUAAACAAAAAAGAUAAGUUCUAAUUCUUGAUAUUCAAAUGCAAGAUCACACCACAUUAGUAUAUAUUUAUUUACAUCAUAAAUGAUACCUUCCAAAAGUCAUAACCAAUUCAUCAUCCAAAAUUUCUCAAUACAACCAUUAACAUUUAUAAAACAAAAACUUCAUAGAAACAUUUAUCAUUUAGUAGUAAUAUAACUAUCCAACAAAAUUGAACAAAUAAAUGAGUUUUAAGUCAUUUGAUGCAUAUCCCGCUGAACUAUAGUAACUAGACUCGGAUACUCAAUGAUGCAUAACAGAGGCACCAAAGUGCAAACAGAGGAAGGAAUAUGCAAUCAAAGGCAUUGAAGUGCAAACAAAUGCACCAAAGUGCAAACCCGUACAAGCGCACAUUAAAACCCUAUUGGCAUACUAAUCGUAUCCUAAUCAUUUACUAUGUUCAAUGGGGCAUUAAGAAUGGGGCAUUAUACUUAAAAUCGCAAUACCAAUAAAUCCAUCAUUUAGAGGCACUUCUUAUUUCCGUACACAUAAUAACAAUAAUUACCAUCAUCAAACAUUCAUUUUAUAUUUGUACUUAAUUACAAAUUUUAAUAAUAUAUAAGUAACUAAUGAAAUUUCCCAUAUAUACCAUUAACUAGAAAAAAAUAAUAUAAUCAUAAAGAGAUACACAUAUACAUAUUAUUACAUUAUGAACUUACCUGCAAUCCACUUCCAAAUAAUAUACAGGGACUACUCCGCAAUUUUUCUCUUUCCUCGAUUAUUGUCUUUUUGACUCGGUUCUUGAUCUAUAUAAUAAUUAAAUUUAAUUUAUUAAAUUUACAUAAUUUAAAAAUCAAUUCAAUGCAUGACACCCUUAUGUUUUCAUUAUUUUCACAUUUUCCUUAAACUUUUACAUUUCUCACAAUUUAGUCCCUAAACCCGAAAUUCCAAAAUUUAACAAAAUUUUACAAUUUUCCAUGCUAGCCGAACUUCUUUCUAAACUAGUACAAUCCCCAAUUAUUUACAAUUCACAAAAUUUCUAUGCAAAUUUUAAUUAUUUACACAUUGAUCAUUAAACUCAAAAUUAACACAAAUUCUUUUACAAAAAUAUCCUAAUCAACAUUCAAAUAUAUACAACUACCAUUAAAAAUCAUGAACACCAAAAUUCCAUUACUAACCAAUCCCUAAAACUUCAACAUUUUUAUAAUUUCAUCCUCAGGUUUAAUAGUUUAAGCUACAACGAGUUCAAAAAAUAUAAAAAUUAUUAAAUAUGUGAGAGAGAAACACUUACAUGCACCAAUUUGCUAACCGAAACUUUAAGCUCAAAAAAUGGAGUUUCUUUUUUUCUUUUUCUUUUUUGGUAGGAGAGAGUUGAGAAGAUGAUGAUACCAUAUUUUAUCUUUUGUUUCUUUUCUUUAAUUAAACUAAUUACCAAAUUAACCUUUUAAUCUGAACUAAAUUAUUAACAUAACAUGACCAUAAUUUUCCAUUAACUAACCAUAAGGUUUAUCUAUCAAUCAAGUCCAUUAUUUUAGUUUUUCUUUAAAAAUCAAGCACAUUUAACUAAUAAAAGCUACUUUAGCAUAUUUUACAAUUUAGUCUUUUUUACUAAAUUAACUAACUAGACAUUAAAAUUUCUUAUCCAAAUUUUAAUACGACUCAAAUAUAACUCUAUAAACAUAAAAUAAACAUAAAAUACUAACUCACUUGUUGGAAUUAUGGUCCUGAAAUAACCAUUUUCGAUACUACUGAAAAAUGGGAUAUUACAUUCAAUCUCUAAUUUAUGCUAAUGAAUGUGAGAGAAUAAUUUUCUUUGUAUAGUAAUACUACAACUAGAAUGUGUUUCGAUCCUAUUCUUAGAAACUGAUAGUAGAAACCCAACUUUUAAUUAGAAACCUCUUGUUUUAAAGUUCAAUGGGUAAAAGCAAGUUAUCGUUAUAUGUCUGUGAUACACUAGUAAAACUCAUUAUAGAAAAAAAAAGUUUAAUGGAAACUAGUGUUAUCCAUUGCGUAUAGAGGAUGAAUUUGAAUACUAUUAAUGAAGUUCAUUGUUUAUUGUUUAAAUGUCUAAAGCAAGGGAAACAUUAAAAGAACUCUACCUAUAUAAACAUAAGAAGUGAUGCCACUUCAACAAGUAAAGGUAGGGUCUCUCUUGUAAAUGUUUAUUAUGAACAAGAUAAGCACAUGAUCAUUUUAGUGCUAAAAGUGAACAACCUCUGAUAGAAAUAUAAAUGAAUAUUAUGUGUAGUGUAUUUCAACUUCUAAUACUAGGAGUUGUGGUUCAAUCUUCGGACACCAACGACUUAUUAGAACUUUGAAAAGCAUCCGCUAAUUGAUGGUUCAUAUUGAGAGAUAUCAUCUUAUAUGCAUAAUAUUUGUUGGAGUGAAUGGCUAUAAAGUAUGGUACCAACAUUUAAACUAAGGGUGAUUGUUAGUAGUUUAUAAUGUUGGCAGUAAAAAUAUUUUAUUAUGUAGAAAAGUCUAAUAACUUAUAAUUAUUGGCCAAAUAAUUGUGUUGUAAAGAGAAUUUUUGUAUGUAAAGUUGUCUUAUAAACUUUAUGUAAAGUUGUGUUGUAAAACAACACAAUUAUAUGAAAAGGUAUCUUAUUAAAAGAUAUAUUCAUAUUAAAGGGUAUCUCAUAAAAGAUACAUCUAUUGGAUGUCUAUAUAAAAGACUUUUCUAUUAGUCAUUUAAAUUGUUUUACUUGGAGUGUUGAGGCCUUUAUUGUAUCUUGAAGGUAUUUUAAAAUCUUAAAGAAAGUGCUCUACAUGCCUCAAAGUCGUUAUAUUUUAUAACAUUAUUUUAUUUUUCUAACUUCUAUUUUCCUAUUAUUUAUUUUUCUAACAGCCAGAAUAUAGAAAAAUUAUUAUGUUUCUAACUAUAUAUUAAAUACGAGUACUACUUGGAAGCCAGCACCCACAAACAUGAUAAAAGUUAAUUUUGAUGAGAGUUUUGACGUGGAAGCAAGAAAUGAGGAAGAGGGUAGUUAUGCAGCAUUGUGAUGGUUUUUUAGUCCGACUACGCAACCAUCCAAUUUAGGGUGCGUUCUACAUUAAGGUGAAAAAGCACUUAAAAAGAACAUUUGGUUUUUACACUUAAAAGUGUGAUGGAAAAAUACUUUUUCAUUCAAAUACAAAAAUUAAGAUAUAAAUGCUUUUGACUUUUAGCUUUUACAUUAGAAUGUGAAAAUUAUCAAAUACUAUUAUUUAUAUUAACUAUUUAAAGUGUAUAUAAAAAUUAGAUUAAUUUAUAUUUUAUAUAUCAUUAUAUUAAAUUAUUUAAAUAUUAUUUAUUAUUAUAUCUUUUAAUAAUUUAUAUAUCAUCUAUUUUACAAAUAAUUUAUAUUAAUUACUUCAAAAAUAUUUGGAACUUAUAUUUCAUGUACCAUUAUAUUAAAUUAUUUAAAUAUUACAUAACUUAAAAUGUCCUUUUCUUUAGACAUGAUAGACUUUUAACGGGAAUUUUUUGUAGUAACGGAGAACACCAAAAACUAAUGAGUACAUUUUUUCAUAGCACUUUUCUACCACUUUUCAACUACAACGGUAAUGGAGAACUAAUCCUUACUAAAGUUACCGAAGCACUAGCUUCCACUGUAGCCAUUGAAAUGGGGCUCCAAUUGGGAUUGCAACACAUUAUUAUUAAAAGAGAUGCUCUCUAAGUGGUUUCGAAGUUGAAGGAAGACAAAGAAGACCUACCAACAAUCGGACCUUGAUAGCAAAGAGUUGAAUACUUGCUAAACAGGUUCAGCAAUGUAGGUUUCAACAAAGAAAGAGGCAUGCUAAUGAGGUGGCACAUCAUCUGGCCAAACAGGGUGCAAUGCCCAAUUUCUGCCCGGGCCUAAUCAAAACAGCCCAAAGCAGAAAGCCCAAUUUUUCUAGACCUAGCCCACAACUAUUUUCAGCACCACCAUGCACCCAUUUUCUCCACCACUCUUCCACUCCAGAACACCCACGAACGGUUUCCCUCCAUGCCAUACAUACCUGCAAAAUAGAUUAAUGACUCAUAGCAGUUGACAGUAGAAAGAAAUAACAACAGGAAACGGUUUUGUACUUGGCUAUAAAGCCUUUGAAUUUUUCAUUGUUUGGUUUUUUUUUCUUUCUUUUUUUUUUCAGAGAGAUUGUACACGAAAUACAUACAAAAAUCAAUAGAAAGCAAUUCAAAGGUGAUUUAUCGCUAUUUAUUGUGUUUUUUUUUUCAAUUGGGUUUACAUACAAGUAUAAAAUAUAAGAGAGAACGAGAGGCUUACCGGAGUUAUAUCGCAUUCACGCCGUCGGUAGGACUAGCUCCGUUGGUCACGAACAGAUUUUGGGAGUGGUUGGGGGCUUGAAAGGAGCCUUUCGGCUGGAGAAUAAAGGGAGAGUGAGGGAGAUGAUAUAAUAUCCAAGGCAUUUAGGGUUUUUUUUUUUAAAUAAAAGUUAAAAAGUUUUCUUUUAAGCACAAUUUUUAAAGCGGGUUUUAGGUGAUAAGAAUGAAACAGCAUGGGGAAGGGAAAGGAAUAGCGUGUUUAACUUGGUCCACGUGCAUUUACCCCUUAAAUGGGUAAUUUUCGUUAUCAGUCCUCCUUACUUGCGUCACCCUUUAUUUGAUCCUAUUCUGUUUCUUUUAUUUUUGCCUUGAAUUUUGCGCACCGUUCCAAUUUAGUCCGAGCAUGAGUGUUGCUUUUUUGGGGUUGGGAACAUUUUCAAUUUUAGCCCUUAUACAUUCACGCGCAUUGCGCUUUGGUCCCUAUUUCAAUUUCAAUGGUUUUUUUAUUUGUUAAUUGUCCCUUUAAUUUUGCUUUUCUUCCAAUUAAGUUUUUAUUUAUUUUUUCCAUAAAAUAAGAAUAUAUUAUUUUAACAUAUAGUUUUGUUCAACAAAAUUCAUAUAUAUUUUUGUAUAUAUUAUUUUAACAAAAUAAGAAUAUAUUGUUUUCUUCAUAUGCAUAUUUAUUUGUUUUUUCUUCCAAAAUAAUUUCAUAUAUCAUUUUGUAUUUAUAUACUUUACUUAUAUUAAGUUUGCUUUAUAUCAUGUAUAUACGUAACUUAUACUAAGUUAUCUUUACUCUAAGUGUACAUUAUUGACUUCCUUUUAUUUUAUGUAAAUAUUUCCUUUUAUUUUAUUUUUUUAUGUAUAUUAUUGAUUUUAUGUUAUUUUAUGCUUGUUUAUUUUCUUCUAAGGACCCUAUUUUAAAUGGUAUAUUUUAUUUAUUUUCGUAUGCUAGUACCUUUGUUUUUUUUAUGUAUAAAUUUUCAUUUCAAGUAUUAUUUAUUUAGAUUGACAAAUACUAUGCUAUGUAUUACUUUUUUUAUAUAUAUACAUUAUGUGUCUUGAAAUAUCGUUUAUAUAUUAUUAUGUCGUACAUUAUUUUUAUUUUUAUUAUUUUUUGACCUAUUCCAGACUGUCAUAUAUGUUACCUUAAGAUUUUUAUACAUUUGUUUGAUUGCAUACUAACGAUUCCAAAUUGCAUUUCUUCUAUAUUAUCUAUAUUAUUUGUUAAAACUUGCCACAUACUUUUAUCUCAUGUACAAAACUAAGCUUGUACACAUGUUAUUGCAUCAUGAUCUUUAAAUUCCAACUCUUUGCCCAACAUCAAUCGUUUUUUAUCCCCAAGCAAACCAAACAAGUAUUUUUAAUUCGGUUUUUAUAACUGUUAAUUUAAAAAUUUCCCAAAACAAAGGCAAUGUUUGAUGUUUGAAAUUUUGGAAAUCGUGCCCUAACGUACUGGGUUUCGAUUUUUCGUUUAUCCAAAAUAAUCAAGUAUCCCCUUUAAAGUUUCGUAUGUGUUUUCUAAACUUCAAAACAAGGCAAUGUUCUAUGUUUUGGAAAUCCGAGAAAUCGUGCCCUAACGUGUUGGAUUUCAAUUUUUCGUUGGACCAAAUGAUCGAGUAUCCUUUUGAAAUUUCAAAUAUAUGAGCUUUUGGAAAUUAAGACUCGGUUGUGGUUUCGAGGGUUUAGAAAGUUAUGUCUUAACGUGCUGGAUGUGAUAUUUUAUUCCUUCAUAACAAAAGAAUUCUUAAUGACCAAUUUGAGUUAUUCAAAUAUUUUAAAAGAAAUAGUAUUUCAAAAUAUCUUUUAAAUUUUAGACAUAAGGACAUUGAUUAAUCAAUUAGGUACCAAUUUUGGGCGUCACGAGGGUGCUAGCCCUUCCUCGUGCGUAACCGACUCCCGAACCCUUUUUUCUCGACUUACGUAGACCUGAAAUUAUUGUUUUAAUAAAUCAAAAUGUUUUAUUAAAAUGAUCAAUUUCAAGGUGAUCCGAUCCCACCUCAGAAGGGAUCGGUGGCGACUCCAAACUUUGAUUUUUCAAAGUCGAUCCCCGUUUUUUUCAAACUUUUAGAAAAUGGUUUCGACACAAGGCCUUAAUUGUUUUCCAUCUUUUGUUCAUAUGUUUGUUUUGAAAAGGUAAAACAAAUCCUCACCUAUUGAUGUUAGAACGGUUGAAUUGCUAAAAGCAUGCUGCGUGCAUAACCAUGCUUUAGGUUAGGCUUCAAAUCAAAUAAAUUUUAAAUUAUUUUUAUUUGAAUUUAAUUAUAAAAAUAUAUUAAUAUCAAUAUAAAAUUAUAUACAAUUUUAAGAUAUUUUAUUUUUCAAUAAUAAAACGAAUCAUCUACCAACCCUAAUUCUUCAGUUUUCUUUUUAAUUAGAUGAUAACUCAAGCCAAGCUAACCAAUAAACACCCAAAAUCUACCAUCAUUUUCAUUUUUUUUUCUUUUGUCACAAAGUAGACAGAAGAUUCGGUUUGGAUAAGCUCUACGUUAUUAAGUCAAAAGCUGAAGUAAUUUUAAUCAUAAAUUGUUUUAUUUGUUUAUAAUGCAAAACAAUGACCCAAUUAAUACAAUAAAGCUUUAACUUUGUGGGAAUUUUCAGUCCAAAAAAAAAAAAACAAUUUGUGGAAAUUUUAGAGCAGUUGACCAUUUCUUCCGAAUUAGUUUUCUCACUUCUUGUCCAUAUUCCAUGUAUAUUAUUUCAAGAAAUUAGGUUUAGAAAAUUGCAUAAUUCAACCAUUGAACUAAUAAAUAUUAAAGAAAAAUUGGGUGGCAAAAAUAUCUUAUUAAAAGCGAAUCAUAUACUAUUAAUAGAUUUUAUGAUUAAAUUAGUUUCACGUGUUAACGGGAUAUUAACUUGAUUUAGUAAAUUAUAAAAAUGUCUUUUAAUGUUUAAAAUAAAUUAUAUUAUUUGAAGAUAUUUUAAUUUUUUUAUUAAAAAAGGAUGAUGUCUCAAAUUAACUCACAAUCUAAUUUAAUUUUUUAUUUUAAUAUCGUAAAUGUUUCAUGUUUUAUUAUUAAUUUGUUUCAAAUUAUACAUUUCAUUAUUUAUUUUAUGUUAUUUUUAAACAUAUUUGUGUUCUAAAUACCAAAUUUUCACUUAAGGGUAUCAGAGACGAAUCUAGAGAGGCUAGUAGGGGCCCCGGUCUCCUUAAAAUGAAAAUUAUUAUUUAAGCCCUUUAGAAAAUUUUAAAAUUUUAAAUUAGUAAAUGUAAAAUUGCACUUUGACCCCCUAAAAUUAUAAAAAUUUAAUUUAAUCUUUUAAAAAUUAUAAAGAUAUAAACUAGUAAAAAUUAAAAUUUCAUUUCGAUCCUCCCUAAAACAUAUUUUUGGCUUCACCUAAAGGGUAUGACUAGUAUGAAUAAUUUUCUUUGGAAGUCUUAAACAAACAGGAGUUAAGUAAAAAGGAGUUUUCAUACAUACAUAUUCGGCGUUGAUGUUUCCCUUUCGAAAAUUUAAAUUAAGACAUAGGAAAAGAAACUAAAAUUGAGCUUAAUUUAUGCAGUUGGGUUCAAAAUUUAAUAUUUAAAUAUAAAAAUUCUAAUAAUUCGAUCUGGUCCGUUUCAUCUAGCAGACUAAUAAUAAAUCUUAAAACAUAUUAUAUUUUAAUUUUAAUAAAACCAAAACUGAUACAUUUGACCUACAUCUACAUGUGAUCUAUGCUUAAUUAAAUUAGUCUAAAUUAGACGAGAUCUUGAUUAGGAGUCAUUUAUUUAUAUUAUAAGUCCCUGAAACAUGCAAAACUUACAUUUAAAAAUUAAUAUUUUUACGUUGUUGUUAGAAUAUAGGGUUUGUUAAUGUUUUCGUGUGAAGUCAGCUGUUGACAUUACCAACCAGAUAAUGAAAAGGGAACAUGGCAAUUAUUCCAUCCUAAUUGUCACACACACACACACACCUAAUUAAGUUAAUCCAAAAAUUACCUAACGUUUAGCAUUUCAAUGGUAGAGUCAGCUCUUUCUUCUAGUCUAUCAAAAAAAAAAAAUCAAUUUAACCCCUAACUCUUGGAUGGAAAAGUUUUUGCUAUGAACUUGUUGAAGUGAAUCUAAUGUGAUAUAAACACAUCACAAUCCAUGUGUGUAAUUAAAAAUAAUAGAGAGAGAUUGAAUAAUUUAAAGGGAAAAAAAAAGAAUUUACUCCCUCCACUAACAGGUAACUCUUGCAGCUUGAAUCUACAACGUAUGUAUGAAAGUGAACACCUUUAAUUAAUGAAUAAAUACUAAAGUUCUAGGUUUAGAAUUAAUUAAAUAUCAAUACAAAAAGUUAAUUACUUUUUGAAAUAAGGAUAAAUCGGUUUUUGAGGUUUGAUAAUUUUUCACAUAUCGAGGUUUGAAUUUUUUUAUCUUAAGUUCUAAACUUGACAAUAGUUCUCAAGAUGUGAAGGUUUUUUUUUUAUCCAAAUUAGGCUAUGAACUUAGAUAGAAAUCUUAAAAUUCAACCCUAAUGUAGGUAUAAUUGUCAAGUUAAAAAAAAUUCAAAUCUUAAUAGAAGAAUAAUCUACUAAUUGGUAACCCUAAUAUAAAAACAAUUGUUAAGUUGAAAACUUAAUUUUUUUUAAAAAUUCAAACCCUUAUUAACUUUAGGAUUUAACCCUUUGAAAUAUUGCGUUAAUUAAUAAGUGUAAGAAUUAUUUUGUGUUAAUGAUUAAAUAAAUAUUUAAGUGGAGAUCAAGUUUUACCUCAUUUGUCAAUUGUCAGGUGAAGAAUAUAUACCCUAAAGGCCUAUCAAAAACGGACCUAUCUCUAUAUAUCUUUACUAAUUUACUAUUCAUUUUUAAUGAAAAGCAAUAAAUUAAUGAAAACGCUAUAAAACGAAAACUACAUGAAUAAAUUAUAUGUGUAAAAUUGAAAUAUUUCGUGACGACAUUAUUGAAAAAAAUAAUCAUUAACCUUAAAUAUAAACAAUUAUGACAUUUCUAUAAAAUAUCAUUUAAUAUAUUGCAUCAAAGUUUUAAAAAAUGUUAUGUGUAUACUUUUACCUCGUAUAAAAAAGUCUUUCAUUUCUCAAUUCUUAUGGCAUAGUAAAUUUAUUAUUAAUUUUUAAAAAAAAUGGUUAUUAUUUGUGUAUUAAAUAAUUAUUGGGAUAAAUUUUAAAGUUGUACAUGGAUUUUGGUUACAUGUUAAUUAUAAACAUUAACUUUGAUUUUAUAUAAUUUUAUAUAUGAAAUUUUAAUUUGAUCCAAUUCUCAUAAAUUAUUAACAUAAUUAUUGAUAUAAUAUCAUUUUAUGUUUAUAUGCUAUAUACAGAAAUAAUUAUAUUUAUUCAAUAUAAAAAUUAAUUGAUGUAUUUAUUUCUUUAAACGUAUAUGAUUGAAUCAAAAUUAAAACAUCAUGUAUACAUUUGAACCAUAACUAAAAUUUUACAUAUAUAAUUAUACAAAAUUACAAUUCAUAUACGUAAUAAACUAAAAUUCAAUUUUUUUAUAAAAUUAACCUAAAAAAUUUAAUUAAUUACAUAAAUGACCCUUUUUUUUAUUAAACACGUAAAUGACCUAAAAUCUACCGUGAAAAUUGGUGGAAGCAAAGAGUUUGGCACCACCAACAUGCCACGUCAGCAACCAAGAUAAAAAAAAUCAACUUUUUGGUAGAGCCAUGCAUAAUAGUGCUACUUGUAUAAAUAUCAGGAAAAUACUAUAAUUUCUAAAAAAUAAGGGACUUUAAUAAAAAAAAAUUCUAUUUUCUGGUGGAGCCAAAUAAAUUGGCGCCACCAGUUUCCAAUGUGAUUUUUUUUAAAGUUUUCUAAAAUUUUAAAUAUAUUAAAAAAUGUUAAGUAUAAUUAAUUUUAAAAGUUUAAUAUAUUUAAAAAUUUAAUAUACUUAAUAUAUAUUUUUAAUAGGUAAAGAAAAAAAUGAUUUUUUAAUAUAUUUAAAAUUUUAAAAAACUUAAAAAAUUUAAAUACUUUAAAAAAUAUUAAGUAUAACUAAUUUUAAAAUUUUAAUAUAUUUAAUAUAUUUUUAAAAUAUUUUUAAAAUUUUUAAUAUAUUUAAAUUUUUUAAAGUUUUUUAAAAUUUUAAAUAUAUUAAAAAAAAUUUCCUCAUUACCUAUUAAAAAUAUAUUAAAUAUAUUAAAAUUUUAACAUAUAUUUUUAAAAUAUAUAUUAAAUAUAUUAAAAUUUUAAAAUUAGUUAUACUUAACAUUUUUUUAAUAUAUUUAAUUUUUUACUAUUUUUUAAAAAUUUUAAAUAUAUUAAGAAAAUAUUUUUUAUAUUUACCUAUUAAAAAUAUAUUUUAAGUAUAUUAAAUUUUUAAAUAUAUUAAACUUUUAAAAAUAAUUAUACUUAACAUUUUUUAAUAUAUUUAAAAUUUUAGAAAACUUUAAAAAAAAUUACAUUUGAAACUGAUUGGCUCCACCAGAAAAUAGAAAAUUUUUAUUAAAGUCCCCCCAUUUUUUAGAAAUUAUAAUAUUUUUUUGAUAUUUAUACAAGUGGCGCCAUUCUACAUGGCUCUAUCAAAAAGUUGAUUUUUUUUAUCCUGGUUGCUGACGUGGCAUAUUGGUGGAGCUAAACUCUUUACCUCCACCAAUUUUCACAGAAAAUUUUAAGUUAUUUAUGUGUUUAAUCAAAAAAAUAGAUCAUUUAUAUAAUUAAUUAAAUUUUUUAAAUUAAUUUUAUAAAAAAAACCCUAAAAUUCAUAUAUAUAACUGUAAGAUUUAUGUCCACAAUUAUCUAAAGCUAAUCGGUGAUAAUUACUAUGGAAAUUCAAUGUACUUAACUAAUUGAUUGAUAGGAACAAGCAUGAUGAAAUCCAUGAUUGGGAAGAGAGAGAAUUCAAAAACUGAACGCCCCAUUAAUCCAUGCGAAUAAACUUUUUCGGUAUACAUCAUAAUUCAUUUAAUUUUAUCAUUAUCUCUAUGCUAUAAUUAUGUUUAAACUAAAAUACUUGAGACAUUAAUAGUUUGUGUUAUAUAAAUUAUGAUAUCCAUAUAUCCAUAUUAUAUAUAUAUUUUUAUAUUAUGAAUGCAUUUAAAAAAAAAUUAUGAAAAAUGUAGAGUCCGCAAAUAAAAAAUGGCUUACAAAUUAACAGAAAACCAAUUUUAUUUCUUGUAAAUUGAUUUACCAUAUUAAAAAGUGUAAAUCUUUUUUUAAAUUUAUUUACGAGUAAUUUUAUUUUUAUAAAAAUUAAUUUUAGCCAAGCCUAAUAUUAUUUUAUUAAUAAUAUUAUUUUUAUUUUUAUUUUUAAACAAUUUAAAAUUAUUAAUAUCAAAUAUUAUAAUGUUGAAUCCUAGUAACAUACAUAUUAAAUUAUUUAUAUUAUGUUAUAUUACAAUUUUAUUUUAAUAAUAAAUUUUAACAACAAUAAUUUUAAAUUUUAAAUCGUAUUUUUAAUAUAUUAUUGAAAAAUAUUUAUAUUAAUAUUUUAAUAAUAAAUAUAUAUUAAAAUUUAUAAAUAUUUAAUAAUAAAUUUUUUAUAGUAUAAAAUAUGAAUAUUUUAAUUAUAUAGAUAUGAGUAUUUGUUUAAAUCAUGCUUAAGUUCAUUUAUCUCCCAACUCUAAUGUGUCAUUAUACACUGUCAUAUAUAUAAUAUAUGUAAUUUAAGCAUUAUUUAUUAUUAAAUUUAUAUAUGAUAUUAAUUAUAAUAAAAUAUUAUCUUAUUAUAAAAGAAAUUCCAAUUGUCAAAAAGAAAUGUUACUCUAAUAUUUUGUAAUAAGUAUAUUUAUAUUGUAUUUGUUUCACUAAUAACAAAUUUAAAAUGAUUUUAGAAAAAAAUAUCAAAAAAUAAAAAAUAUUUUAAUCAAAAUAAUUCAAAUAAAAAAAACUAAACUUUUCCAUGAAAUCAAUCCAAUUUUAAGAAAACAUUAAAAUUGUUUUAGGUGAAACAAAAGGAACCUAUAUUUUAUAUAGUAUUUGAAAAGUUGUUGUAUCUAGAAUUAUUAUCUUUAAUUUUUUUUAGGUCUAUUUCUAAUUUUCAAAAAUUGAGAAGUUAAUUUCUCUAUUUUACUUUAUCAGUCCGUGCUUAUUUUUUAUUAAUUUGUUGUGUAUAAAUGGUUAAACUAUUGAUUUUUGUUAAUUACUAGCAUGUAAAUUGUUAAACUACUUGUUCCCAAGUCAACAGUAAAGCUUAAUAGUAUUAUCAAUUUGGAAUAAUUUCUGAGAUUUUUCUUUUAUUUUGCGUGAUUAAGAUAUUUUUCAUGUACGGUUUAAGGUUUAUGAAGACUAAUCCUUUCGAGUUUAUAACUACCCUUUUUAAUAAUGUCGUCUUUAAAAUUCGAGUUCUCUUUCUUGUAAGUACAAUAUGCCUUACAUUUAUAACUAAUACUUCUUAUUUUUGUAAAAUAUAAGAAUCAAAUUAUGUAGUAAGAUUAAUUUCUAGAUUUUUUAAAUUUAAAAUUUAACAUUUAAAAUAUUAUCAAUCACAUCACACACAAAACCAAAGAGCAAGAGAAUCUAAAAAACACGUGGACCAUUAAUUUAGGAAUGGACAGAAACUCAUGCAAAAUGGUUGGAAAACACGUACAGGAUUAUAUAUACUAAUCAUUUUUAUUAUUAAGCAGAAUUGGAAAUAAAUAAAUACGGGCGAAACCACUGAAUAAUACAGCAUUGAAAUGCAAUUUGUCUACAUCAUUAUUGUUCUUCACUUCAAACGCGGAGACUAGUCUAGGGUCCCAAUCUUUUGCUUUAUCUCUCUAGAUAUAUCCUUUUCAAACUAUCUUUUUGUAGCUUUAUUUGCAUCACAGCAUUAUCUUUUCCUGCAAACAACUGUUUAAAGAUUAAAACAUGCAAAACAUUCUGAAAUAAUGCACCCUGACCAGAUGACAAAAAAAAAAGAGGAUUCUAAUGUAUCUUACCUUGGAUUGGAGCACGGUCAAAGCCGUGGCUUAGUAGUGGUGAGGAGGAGGGGGUGAAGCGUAGACAUAAUGGGGUGGGGGUGGAGGAGGAGACUUGUAUUUGUAAACUGGAGGAGGAGGUGGUGGAGACUUGUACUUGUAAGGGUGCUUGGGGGGUGAUGGUGGGGGUGGUGGGGGUGACUUGUACUUGUAGGGGUGCUUGGGUGGUGACGGUGGGGGUGGGGACUUGUACUUGUAAGGGUGCUUGGGGGGUGAUGGUGGUGGUGGUGGAGGUGACUUGUACUUGUAGGGGUGCUUGGGUGGUGACGGUGGUGGUGGUGGGGGGGACUUGUACUUGUAGGGAUGCUUUGGUGGGGAUGGUGGUGGUGGUGGUGGGGACUUGUACUUGUAGGGAUGCUUAGGUGGGGAUGGUGGUGGUGGUGGAGACUUGUAUUUGUAAGGAUGCUUUGGUGGUGAUGUUGGUGGAGGUGGUGGGGACUUGUACUUGUAAGGGUGCUUGGGUGGUGAUGGAGGUGGAGGUGGUGGAGACUUAUACUUGUAAACUGGAGGUGGUGGGGGUGGAGACUUGUACUUGUAGGGGUGCUUGGGUGAUGAUGGAGGUGGAGGUGGUGGAGACUUAUACUUGUAAACUGGAGGUGGUGGGGGUGGAGACUUGUACUUGUAAGGGUGCUUGGGUGGUGAUGGUGGGGGUGGGGACUUGUACUUGUAGGGGUGUUUAGGUGGUGAUGGUGGUGGUGGUGGUGGGGACUUGUACUUGUAAGGAUGCUUGGGUGGUGAUGGUGGUGGAGGUGGAGGAGACUUGUACUUGUAAGGAUGCUUGGGUGGUGAUGGUGGUGGAGGUGGUGGAGACUUAUACUUGUAAACAGGAGUUGGUGGGGGAGGAGAUUUGUACUUGUAAGGUUUCUUGUGUGGUGGUGGUGGAGGAGAGUAGACCGGAGGAGGCGGUGGGGGAGACUUGUAAUGGUAGG
rnacentral:lncRNA from 1 species